rnacentral:lncRNA from 1 species
UAAGUUGUGGCUCUACUGGAGUUCUGUCAACACAUGACAACACUAGUCUUCGAUCGAUCUCAAGCCAGUCAGAGAACUCAAAUCCUUACACCGUGUUUCAUUAUUUCACAGAAGGAUAUGUGAUGGUUGUUGUGUAAUCUACUGUGUUGUGUUGAAAAAUGUUUAAGCCACUACAUGCAUCAGCAUUAUGUACUAUUUGACUUUAGUAAUCAAGUCAUACGACAUACUAUGCCUGAACUGUAUUAUAUUCCUUGCUCUGAAGGAGUUCUCCUGCGUGUAGUUCCUAUCAUCAGUCGAUAGCUUAUUUUCAUUUAACAGGUCCAAAGAUCUGUGCUAAGCUUUGUAGGGUGUCAAGUUGCAACAAGCAUGUUUUAUCAACGGUUUUAAAUCCUAGCCAUUGCAGGAAAGAAAACUAGAAUCGCCUUUUUUCCCUUGAAAAGGGGCCGCCGCAUUGAAAGUGCUGUUAUGAUCCCAAGCUUGGGUGAACAGUAAAAUCAGGAAAAAGAAAAAAAUCCAACAGAUCCCAAUUUUUUGGGUGAAAAUUUCUUUUGAGAAGGGCCUCAGCAUUAUCUACUGGGAAUUGUUGAUUUCUNNNNNNNNNNNNNNNNNNNNNNNNNNNNNNNNNNNNNNNNNNNNNNNNNNNNNNNNNNNNNNNNNNNNNNNNNNNNNNNNNNNNNNNNNNNNNNNNNNNNNNNNNNNNNNNNNNNNNNNNNNNNNNNNNNNNNNNNNNNNNNNNNNNNNNNNNNNNNNNNNNNNNNNNNNNNNNNNNNNNNNNNNNNNNNNNNNNNNNNNNNNNNNNNNNNNNNNNNNNNNNNNNNNNNNNNNNNNNNNNNNNNNNNNNNNNNNNNNNNNNNNNNNNNNNNNNNNNNNNNNNUGCUGUACCCUAGCCCCUGGCGCCUUCCUCUCCCUCUCGUGACACCUCUCUCUCCUGCUUGCGCUUGGCGAAGCCCUGCCGGGAUCCCCGCUACUUCCACCACCACGCCGUCGUGCUGCUGGAUCUCCAUCAACCUCUCCUUCCCCCUUACUGGAUCAACGAGGAGACGUCGCUGCUCCGUACGUGUGUUGAACGCGGAGGUGCCGUCCGUUCGGCGCUCGGUCAUCGGUGAUUUGGAUCACGACGAGUACGACUCCAUCAACCCCGUUCACUUGAACGCUUCCGCUCGCGAUCUACAAGGGUAUGUAGAUGCACUCCUUUCCCCUCGUUGCUAGUAAACUCCAUAGAUGGAUCUUGGUGAAGCGUAGAAAUUUUUUGAUUUCUGCUACGAUCCCCAACAAAAGAGUUGCCCAGAAGAGUCCCGAGCCAUCCACGAGGCUCACUCCCUACCCCCCUGGGCUCACCCCCUAUCUCGUGGAUGACUCGGAGACCCCGCUGACGUGAGACCGACGCCAAAAAUUUCUAUAAAUACAGAAACCCCCAGAAAGAAACCUAGAUCGGGAGUUUCGCCGCUGCAAGCCUCUGUAGCCACCAAAAACCAAUCGGGACCCUGUUCUGGCACCGUGUCGAAGGGGGAAUCCCUCACCGGUGGCCAUCUUCAUCAUCCCGGCGCUCUCCAUGACGAGGAGGGAGUAGUUCACCCUCGGGGCUGAGGGUAUGUACCAGUAGCUAUGUGUUUGAUCUCUCUCUCUCUCUCUCUCUCUCUCUCUCUCUCUCUCUCUCUCGUGUUCUUGAUUCGACACGAUCUUGAUGUAUCGCGAGCUUUGCUAUUAUAGUUGGAUCUUAUGAUGUUUCCCACCCUCUACUCUCUUGUAAUGGAUUGAGUUUUCCCUUUGAAGUUAUCUUAUCGGACUGAGUCUUCAAGGAUUUGAGAACACUUGAUGUAUGUCUUGCAUGUGCUUAUUUGUGGUGACAAUGGGAUAUUCACGUGAUCUACUUGAUGUAUGUUUUGGUGAUCAUUUUGCGGGUUCAGUGACCUUGUGAACUUAUGCAUAGGGGUUGGCACACGUUUUCAUCUUGACUCUCCGGUAGAAACUUUGGGGCACUCUUUGAAGUACUUUGUGUUGGUUUGAAUAGAUGAAUCUGAGAUUGUGUGAUGCAUAUUGAUACGUCUCCAACGUAUCUAUAAUUUUUUAUUGUUCCAUGCUAUUAUAUUAUCCAUCUUGGAUGUUUAUGGGCUUUAUUAUGUAUUUUUAUAUUAUUUUUGAGACUAACCUAUUGACCUAGAGCCUAGUGCCAGUUCCUGUUUUUCCCUUGUUUCAGUGUUUCGAAGAAAAGGAAUAUCAAACGGAGUCGAAACGGAAUGAAACCUUCUGGAGAAGUUAUUUUUGGAAGGAAAGCAACCGGGGAGACUUGGAGUCCACGUCAAGGAAGCAAUGAGGAAGGCACGAGGCAGGGGGGUGCGCCCACCCCCCUGGGCGCGCCCUCCACCCUUGUGGGCCCCUCGUGGCUCCCCUGACGUACUUCUUUCACCUAUAUAUACCCAUAUACCCUAAAACGAUCGGAGAACAGAAUAGAUCGGGAGUUCCGCCGCCGCAAGCCUCUGUAGACACCAAAAGUCAAUCAGGACCCUGUUCCGGCACCCUACCGGAGGGGGGAACCCUCACUGGUGGCCAUCUUCAUCAUCCCGGCGCUCUCCAUGACGAGGAGGGAGUAGUUCACCCUCGGGGCUGAGGGUAUGUACCAGUAGCUAUGUGUUUGAUCUCUCUCUCUCUCUUGUGUUCUUGAUUCGGCACGAUCUUGAUGUAUCGCGAGCUUUACUAUUAUAGUUGGAUCUUAUGUUGCUUUUUCCCCUCUACUCUCUUGUAAUGGAUUGAGUUUUCCCUUUGAAGUAAUCUUAUCGGAUUGAGUCUUAAAGGAUUUGAGAACACUUGAUGUAUGUCUUGCCGUGCGUAUCGGUGGUGACAAUGGGAUAUCACGUGAUUCACUUGAUGUAUGUUUUGGUGAUCAACUUGCGGGUUCCGCCCAUGAAACUAUGCAUAGGGGUUGGCACACGUUUUCGUCUUGAUUCUCCGGUAGAAACUUUGGGGCACUCUUUGAGGUUCUUUGUGUUGGUUGAAUAGAUGAAUCUGAGAUUGUGUGAUGCAUAUCAUAUAAUCAUACCCACGGAUACUUGAGGUGACAUUCGAGUAUCUAGGUGACAUUAGGGUUUUGGUUGAUUUGUGUCUUAAGGUGUUAUUCUAGUACGAACUCUAGGGCUGUUUGUGACACUUAUAGGAAUAGCCCAACGGAUUGAUUGGAAAGAAUAACUUUGAGGUGGUUUCUUACCCUACCAUAAUCUCUUCGUUUGUUCUACGCUAUUAGUGACUUUGGAGUGACUCUAUGUUGCAUGUUGAGGGAUAGUUAUAUGAUCCAAUUAUGUUAUUAUUGUUGAGAGAACUUGCACUAGUGAAAGUAUGAACCCUAGCCUUGUUUCCUAGCAUUGCAAUACCGGUUGUGCUCACUUUUAUCAUUAGUUACCUUGCUGUUUUUAUAUUUUUAGAUUACAAAAACACAUAUCUAUCAUCCAUAUUGCACUUGUAUCACCAUCUCUUCGCCGAACUAGUGCACCUAUACAAUUUAUCAUUGUAUUGGGUGUGUUGGGGACACAAGAGACUCUUUGUUAUUUGGUUGCAGGGUUGUUUGAGAGAGACCAUCUUCAUCCUACGCCUCCCACAGAUUGAUAAACCUUAGGUCAUCCACUUGAGGGAAAUUUGCUACUGUCCUACAAACCUCUGCACUUGGAGGCCCAACAACGUCUACAAGAAGAAGGUUGCGUAGUAGACAUCAAGCUCUUUUCGGGCGCCGUUGCCGGGGAGGUGAGUGCUUGAAGGUAUAUCUUUAGAUCUUGCAAUCGAAUCUUUUAGUUUCUUGUUUUAUCACUAGUUUAGUUUAUAAAAGAAAACUACAAAAAAAUGGAAUUGAGUUUGCCUCAUACGCUUCAUCUUUUUAAUAUUUUUCGUGAGUAUGAUGGGAAGGAAAAUUGUGCCAAAGUGUUAGAAGAAGAAUGCAUUAAAAUAUUUGGCACUAAAUCUUUGAAUGAUGAGCAUGAUUGCAUUGUUGUUAGUAUGAACUCCUUGAAUAUCCAUAGUACUAAUGAUGAUUGCACUAGUUAUGAUGAAAAUGUCUCCUAUAAACAUGUCAAUUUUUGUGGAGUGCAUUGGGUUUGCAAAUACACACCAAAUAGGGAAGAUAGGUAUUGCAAGAGGCAUAAGCAUUUAGAAACUAAAUUGUUGCAAGAAAGGCUAGAUGUUUGUGCUGAAAAUUUAAAUUUUCUUGGCCGUACUUGUGGACUUUGCAAUGAAAGUGGUCAUUUAGCUAUCCGAUGCAAAUUGUUUCAUGAUCUAAUCGUGUCCAAAAAUUGUGAUGAGUUGAUUUCCCUUGCACAUUAUAAUGAACUUAGCUUGCUUGUGAGUUGCGAAGAAAUGAAACAUAUAACUAGGCACCUUCCAGAAUUUGCCCCUUAUAAACUUCUUGGUUUUGAUCUAGAGGAAAUUUAUAUGUAUUGUGCGGUGAAUUGCAUUGAAAAUCCUUAUAUUGCCAAUUACAUAAAUAAAGAAAACAAAUAAAGGAUGAAGAUAAUACUGAUGAAAGGGAAGAGGCUUCCCAAUAUUCUCCUAUUAUUUCUUAUGAUGAAUCAGGUAACGAGGAGGAGCCUUCUAUUCAACCAAUCUUAUUAAUAAGGAGCUCCAAAAAGAGGAUUGAACCCACACAUGAGGUGAAGAAGAAGAAAAGAAAAAGGAAGAGAGGUAAAAAGAUAUCUUCCCCAAAUAAUGUUGCUCCUAUUAUUGUUGUGCCUCAUGAAAAUGAAUCAAAAAUAAUUGUGGAAGAUGAUGCACUUGAUGAUGAUCUCGUUAUGCCUAUUGCUUGUUGUGAUGAUUAUGAUUGGGAAGAUAAUAAUACUUCUUAUGAUCUUGAAAAUCUUUUUGGCACUUGCUUGGAAGAAUAUGAUAAUUGCUAUACUAUUGGUGCUAUCCAUACUAUUAAUGAUGAGAGUGAUUAUGCUUAUGAUAUGAAAAGGCCCAAGCUUGGGGAAGCUAUGUUUGACGAGAAUGAUAUAUUUGAGAACAUAUUUGCUGAAAUUAAUGUUUGUCCCAAGCUUGGGGAUGCUACGUUUAAUGAAGAUGAUAUUUUUAGUCUCCCAAGUUUUGAUAUGCAAAUUUAUAAUGAUGAUAGCAUGCCUCCUACUUAUGAUGAUUAUAUUGAUGAAAGUGGGUUUGGAAGAGUGUCAACUUUAGGAAGUAAUGAUCCCACUAUUUUGGAGGAUGUCGAAUCUUAUAAUAUUUAUGAAAGUGGAUUUGGAGAGGUCAUGACUUUAUUUAGUGAUGAGUCCACUAUCUUGGAAGAGGUUUCAAUCGAUUAUGAUGAGAACAAAGUCGCUACUUAUGAUGAUUAUUGUGAUGAAACUUAUGCUAUAAAAAGUAGUGAUGACUAUACUUGUAAAACUUGUCAUGAUUAUGAUUACCCUUUUUCUGAACAUUAAUCUUUUAAUGUGGAAACAAUUUAUAGUAUUCAAGUCUCUUAUGAAACUCCCACUAUUCCGAAUGAAAAGAAGUUUGCUUAUGUGGAGAGUAAUAAAAUUUCUAUGCUUGUAGAUCAUGAAAAGAAUGCUUUAGGUGCUGGUUAUAUUGUUGAAUUCAUUCAUGAUGCUACUGAAAAUUAUUAUGAGGGAGGAACAUAUGCUUGUAGGAAUUGCAAUAAUAUCAAGUUUCCUCUCUAUGUGCUUAAAAUUUUAAAGUUAUGCUUGUUUUGCCUUCCUAUGCUAGUUGAUUAUUGUUCCCAUAAGUUAUUUGCUCACAAAAUCCCUAUGCAUAGGAAGUGGGUUAGACUUAAAUGUGUUAGUAAUAUUCUUCAUGAUGCUCUCUUUAUGUUUCAAUUCUUAUCUUUUAUGCGAGCAUCAUUGAAAUCAUCAUGCCUAGCUAGGGGCAUUAAACGAUAGCGCUUGUUGGGAGGCAACCCAAUUUUAUUUUAGUUUCUUGCUUUUUGGUUCUGUUUAGAAAUAAAUAAUCCAUCUAGCUUCUGUUUAGAUGUGGUUUUGUGUUUUAAUUAGUGUUUGUGCCAAGUAGAACCUUUGGGAAGACUUGGGUGAAGUCUUUAUGAUCAUGCUGUAAAAAACAGAAACUUUAGCGCUCACGAGAUUAGCUAGAACUUUUUACUGAAGAGUGCUAUUUAGUUGAUCCUUUUUUCAGAUGAUUACUAGACAUAUUCCUCAGGUCCACCCAUUUAUUUUAGAAUUUUUGGAGUUCCAGAAGUAUACGUUUGAUACAUAUUACUGAAGACUGUUCUGUUUUUCACAGAUUCUGUUUUUCGUGUGUUAUUUGCUUAUUUUGAUGAAUCUAUGGCUAGUAAAAUAAUUUAUAAACCAUAGAGAAGUUGGAAUACAGUAGGUUUAACACCAAUAUAAAUAAAGAAUUAGUUCAAUACAGUACCUUGAAGUGGUGUUUUGUUUUCUUUUGUUAACGGAGCUCACGAGAUUUCUGUUAAGUUUUGUGUUGUGAAGUUUUCAAGUUUUGGGUAAAGAUUCGAUGGACUAUGGAAUAAGGAGUGGCAAGAGCCUAAGCUUGGGGAUGCCCAAGGCACCCCAAGGUAAUAUUUAAGGACAACCAAGAGCCUAAGCUUGGGGAUGCCCCGGAUGGCAUCCCCUCUUUCGUCUUCAUUCAUCGGUAACUUUACUUUGAGCUAUAUUUUUAUUCACCACAUGAUAUGUGUUUUGCUUGGAGCGUCAUUUUAUUUUCUUUAGCUUUGCUUGCUUUUUGAGUAAAGUACCAAGAUCUGAAAUUCUUAAAUGUUAGAGAGUCUUCACAUAGCUAAAUAAUUAUUCAACUACUCAUUGAUCUUCACUUAUAUCUUUCGGAGUAGUUUGUCGUUUGCUCUAGUGCUUCACUUAUAUCUUUUAGAGCACAAUGUUGGUUUUAUUUUGAAGAAAUAGAUGAACUCUCAUGAUUCACUUAUAUUAUUUUGAGAGUCUUAAACAACAUGGUAAUGUGCUUAAUCCUAAUAUGCUAGGUAUUCAAGACUAGUAAAAACUUUCUUAUGAGUGUGUUGAAUACUAAGAGAAGUUUGAUGCUUGAUGAUUGUUUUGAGAUAUGGAGAUGGUGAUAUUAGAGUCAUGCUGGUUGAGUAGUUGUGAAUUUGAGAGAUUCUUGUGUUAAAGUUUGUGAUUCCCGUAGCAUGCACGUAUGGUGAACCGUUAUGUGAUGAAGUCGGAGCAUAAUUUAUUUAUUGAUUGUCUUCCUUAUGAGUGGCGGUCGGGGACGAGCGAUGGUCUUUUCCUACCAAUCUAUCCCCCUAGGAGAAUGCCCGUAAUACUUUGCUUUGAUAACUUGUAGAUUUUUGCAAUAAGUAUAUGAGUUCUUUAUGACUAAUGUUGAGUCCAUGGAUUAUACGCACUCUCAUCCUUCCACCAUUGCUAGCCUCUCUAAUACCGUGCACCUUUUGCCCGUAUCAUACACCCACCAUAUACCUUCCUCAAAACAGCCACCAUACCUACCUAUCAUGGCAUUUCCAUAGCCAUUCCGAGAUAUAUUGCCAUGCAACUUUCCACCGUUCCGUUUAUUAUGACACGCUCCAUCAUUGUCAUAUUGCUUAAGCAUGAUCAUGUAGUUGACAUCGUAUUUGUGGCAAGCCACAGUUCAUAAUUCUUUCAUACAUGUCACUCAUGAGUCAUUGCACAUCCCGGUACACCGCCGAAGGCAUUCAUAUAGAGUCAUAUUUUGUUCUAAGUAUCGAGUUGUAAUUGUUGAGUUGUAAGAAAAUAAAAGUGUGAUGAUCUUCAUUUUUAGAGCAUUGUCCCAAGUGAGGAAAGGAUGAUGGAGACUAUGAUUCCCCCACAAGUCGGGAUGAGACUCCGGACGGAAAAAAAGAGGCCAUAAAAAAAGACAAAAGGCCCAAAUAAAAAAAAUGAGAGAAAAAGAGAGAAGGGACAAUGUUACUAUCCUUUUACCACACUUGUGCUUCAAAGUAGCACCAUGAUCUUCAUGAUAGAGAGUCUCUCAUUUUGUCACUUUCAUUUACUAGUGGGAAAUUUUCAUUAUAGAACUUGGCUUGUAUAUUUCAAUGAUGGGCUUCCUCAAAAUGCCCUAGGUCUUCGUGAGCAAGCGAGUUGGAUGCACACCCACUUAGUUUCUUUUGUUAAGCUUUCAUAUACUUAUAGCUCUAGUGCAUCCGUUGCAUGGCAAUCCCUACUCACUCACAUUUAUAUCUAUUGAUGGGCAUCUCCAUAGCCCAUUGAUACGCCUAGUUGAUGUGAGACUAUCUUCUCCUUUUUGUCUUCUCCACAACCACCAUUCUAUUCCACAUAUAGUGCUAUGUCCAUGGCUCACUCUCAUGUAUUGCGUGAAGAUUGAAAAAGUUUGAGAACAUCAAAAGUAUGAAACAAUUGCUUGGCUUGUCAUCGGGGUUGUGCAUGAUUUAAAUAUUUUGUGUGAUGAAGAUAGAGCAUAGCCAGACUAUAUGAUUUUGUAGGGAUAGCUUUCUUUGGCCAUGUUAUUUUGAGAAGACAUGAUUGCUUUGUUAGUAUGCUUGAAGUAUUAUUGUUUUCAUGUCAAUAUUAAACUUUUAUCUUGAAUCUUAUGGAUCUGAAUAUUCUUGCCACAAUAAAGAAAAUUACAUUGAGAAAUAUGUUAGGUAGCAUUCCACAUCAAAAAUUCUGUUUUUAUCAUUUACCUACUCGAGGACGAGCAGGAAUUAAGCUUGGGGAUGCUGAUACGUCUCCAACGUAUCUAUAAUUUUUGAUUGUUCCAUGCUAUUAUAUUAUCCAUCUUGGAUGUUUAUGGGCUUUAUUACGCACUUUUAUAUUAUUUUUGGGACUAACCUAUUGACCCAGAGCCCAGUGCUAGUUCCUGUUUUUUUUCCUUGUUUCAGUGUUUCGAAGAAAAGGAAUAUCAAACGGAGUCGAAAUGGAAUGAAACCUUCUGGAGAAGUUAUUUUUGGAAGGAAAGCAACCGGGGAGACUUGGAGUCCACGUCAAGGAAGCAACAAGGAAGGCACGAGGCAGGGGGCGCGCCCUCCCCCCUGGGCACGCCCUCCACCCUCGUGGGCCCCUCGUGGCUCCCCUGACGUACUUCUUUCACCUAUAUAUACCCAUAUACCCUAAAACGAUCGGAGAACAGAAUAGAUCGGGAGUUCCGCCACCGCAAGCCUCUGUAGCCACCAAAAGUCAAUCGGGACCCUGUUCCGGCACCCUACCGGAGGGGGGAACCCUCACCGGUGGCCAUCUUCAUCAUCCCGAUGCUCUCCAUGACGAGGAGGGAGUAGUUCACCCUCGGGGCUGAGGGUAUGUACCAGUAGCUAUGUGUUUGAUCUCUCUCUCUCUCUCUCUCUCUCUCUCUCUCUCUCUCUUGUGUUCUUGAUUCGGCACGAUCUUGAUGUAUCGCGAGCUUUGCUAUUAUAGUUGGAUCUUAUGUUGCUUCUCCCCUCUACUCUCUUGUAAUAGAUUGAGUUUUCCCUUUGAAGUAAUCUUAUCGGAUUGAGUCUUAAAGGAUUUGAGAACACUUGAUGUAUGUCUUGCCGUGCGUAUCUGUGGUGACAAUGGGAUAUCACGUGAUUCACUUGAUGUAUGUUUUGGUGAUCAACUUGCGGGUUCCGCCCAUGAAACUAUGCAUAGGGGUUGGCACACGUUUUCGUCUUGAUUCUCCGGUAGAAACUUUGGGGCACUCUUGGAGGUUCUUUGUGUUGGUUGAAUAGAUGAAUUUGAGAUUGUGUGAUGCAUAUCAUAUAAUCAUACCCACGGAUACUUGAGGUGACAUUGGAGUAUCUAGGUGACAUUAGGGUUUUGGUUGAUUUGUGUCUUAAGGUGUUAUUCUAGUACGAACUCUAGGGCUGUUUGUGACACUUACAGGAAUAGCCCAACGGAUUGAUUGGAAAGAAUAACUUUGAGGUGGUUUCGUACCCUACCAUAAUCUCUUUGUUUGUUCUCCGCUAUUAGUGACUUUGGAGUGACUCUUUGUUGCAUGUUGAGGGAUAGUUAUAUGAUCCAAUUAUGUUAUUAUUGUUGAGAGAACUUGCACUAGUGAAAGUAUGAACCCUAGGCCUUGUUUCCUAGCAUUGCAAUACCGUUUGUGCUUACUUUUAUCAUUAGUUACCUUGCUGUUUUUAUAUUUUCAGAUUACAAAAACCCAUAUCUAUCAUCCAUAUUGCCCUUGUAUCACCAUCUCUUCGCCGAACUAGUGCACCUAUACAAUUUACCAUUGUAUUGGGUGUGUUGGGGACACAAGAGACUCUUUGUUAUUUGGUUGCAGUGUUAUUUGAGAGAGACCAUCUUCAUCCUACGCCUCCCACGGAUUGAUAAACUUUAGGUCAUCCACUUGAGGGAAAUUUGCUACUGUCCUACAAACCUCUGCACUUGGAGGCCCAACAACGUCUACAAGAAGAAGGUUGCGUAGUAGACAUCACAUAUCGUAUAAUCAUACCCACGGAUACUCGAGGUGACAUUGGAGUAUGUAGGUGACAUUAGGGUUUUGGUUGAUUUGUGUCUUGAGGUGUUAUUCUAGUACGAACUCUGGGAUAGAUCGAACGGAAAGAAUAGCUUCGUGUUAUUUAACUACGGACUCUUGAAUAGAUGGAUCAGAAAGAAUAACUUUGAGGUGGUUUCGUACCCUACAAUAAUCUCUUUGUUUGUUCUCCGCUAUUAGUGACUUUGGAAUGACUCUUUGUUGCAUGUUGAGGGAUUGUUAUAUGAUCUAAUUAUGUUAUCAUUGUUGAGAGAACUUGCACUAGUAAAAGUAUCAACCCUAGGCCUUGUUCCGAAGCAUUGCAAUACCGUUUUUGCUCACUUUAUCGCUUGCUACCUUGCUAUUUUUAUAUUUUCAGAUUACAAAUACCCAUAUCUACCAUCCAUAUUGCACUUGUAUCACCAUCUCUUCGCCGAACUAGUGCACCUAUACAAUUUAUCAUUGUAUUGGGUGUGUUGGGGAUACAAGAGACUCUUUGUUAUUUGGUUGCAGUGUUGCUUGAGAGAGACCAUCUUCAUCCUACGCCUCCCAUGGAUUGAUAAACCUUAGGUCAUCCACUUGAGGGAAAUUUGCUACUAUCCUACAAACCUCUGCACUUGGAGGCCCAACAACGUCUACAAGAAGAAGGUUGGGUAGUAGACAUCAGGUAUCUUCAUAUCUAGUUCAAUCUUGUUAGCGGCAACUCUCUUUACUCGUUCUGUAAUGCAUCAUCCCGUAACUAACUCAUUAGUCACAUUUCUUGCAAGGCUUAUUAUGAUGUGCAUUACCAGGAGGGCCCAGAGAUACCUCUCCGAUACUCAGAGUGAAAAAUCCUAAUCUCGAUCUAUGCCAACCCAACAAAACACCUUCGGAGAUACCUGUAGAGCAUCUUUAUAAUCACCCUUUUACGUUGUGACGUUUGAUAGCACACAAGGUAUUCCUCCGGUAUUUGGGAGUUGCAUAAUCUCAUAGUCAAAGGAACAUGUAUAAGUCAUGAAGAAAGCAAUAGCAAUAAAACUUAACGAUCAUUAUGCUAAGCUAAUGGAUGGGUCUUGUCCAUCACAUCAUUCUCCUAAUGAUGUGAUCCCGUUCAUCAAAUGACAACACAUGUCUAUGGUUAGAAAACUUAACCAUCUUUGAUUAACGAGCUAGUCUAGUAGAGGCUUUACUAGGGACACUGUAUUGUCUAUGUAUCCACACAUGUAUCAAGUUUCCGGUUAAUACAAUUCUAGCAUGAAUAAUAGAUAUUUAUCAUGAUAUAAGGAAAUAUAAAUAACAACUUUAUUAUUACCUCUAGGGCAUAUUUCCUUCACUUUGCACAUCGGCUCUUUGGGUAAGCUCAUCGAUAAACAAUGGUUCAUCUUGAAUGUUGACGCCCUCUUCUUCCUCCUCUUCGCAAUAGAUGUCUUCAUCUUCAUGCCAUGAGUUGCCAUGGCCGCCGGCGUCUUGUUCUUCAUGGAAACCAUAGUGGUCGGCACCAUCUUGUCCGCGGCCAUCUUGGCUUUGGGUCUCGCCGGAACCGUAGCCUUCACCCUCGGGGUAGAAGGCCUGGCCAUGGCCCUCGUAAAUGAUGUUCUCCACAAACGCGUUGUAGUCGGGGUCGUCGGCCGCCGGUGUCGGGAUUGGCGUUUCAUCAAAUAGGUUACCAGCGCCGCGAAGGUUGGCCAUAGGAAUCGACCGUGGCUACUUCCUUUGCAUCUCGGAGGACGACUAGCCGGCACCACGGUACCUAGGCGUGACGUUGAGGUCGAUGACGGUCCUGGGGCUGGGGGUGGCCGGCGUGAUCACGCUGUCGUCCGACGACGUCUCCGGUCUUAUGGAGGAGCUCGGAGACCGGUACUGCGGAGGGCGAACGACCGACGAUCCUAUGCUUGCCGUGGCCAUGGCGGCGACAGAGAGAAUGGCCGGCGCGGGUCGGCACAACCCUAGCUUGAGGAUGGCAUGCAUCGUCGCUACCUGAGUGGCCAUGGUGACGAUGGCCUCGUCCUCGACAAUAGCGUUGUGCUGCGCGGCCACGGCCUCGAGGGCAAAGUCGGCUACGUCUUUCUUCUUCGCCUGAACGGUCCACCCUCUUGGUCGAUUCUAUGUCGAGCCGCGCGAUCUCCGCGACGGGAGGAGGAAGGGGAGGGGGAGCGCGGGAGGGUUUUGGGAAUUGGGUGGGGGGGAGGGGAGCUCUGUGUCUGCCACGGGCGGGCGGGACGACAAUGGUAUGCGUCCCGCUUGUCCGCGCAUUGUCCGUUUUGACGCAAACGCGGCCCAAAUUUAGGCCGGAAAUGCGUCGGCCGUGGACAAAAAACGGACGUUUGUCCGUUUGCUCCUGCGUGUCGGGUCUACUAUUUGUGUCCGUUUAGCCCCAAACGUGCACUGUUGAACUAUCUGCUGAAAUUUGAGAUGGGCUCUAGGCCCAUGUAGCAAUUUCUGAAAAAUCUCUAAGGGCCCAUGUGGGUUAUAUGGCACUAGGUGUAGUGGGAAGUUUAGUCCCACCCCGGAAGUGGAAGAGGAGUUGGACCUCCUUAUAAGGGUUUCUCUUCUACAUGCUAUUGGAGCUUGAGAAGAGAAGAGGCCCUCGCGCACUCCUCCUCCGCCGCCCGCCUCGCCACGCCACGCCACGCCUCGUCACGACGUGCCGCGGGUUACGGGAUUGAGCCGAGCCGAGCUUACACCUACGUGCUUAUUUUUGCCAGUCACUAGCGGAGAGUUCUCUGACAGCUGGGCCACGAUCUGAGACGUCGGAUCGUGGGCUGUCACGGACUCGGACGUGGGUCGAGCCCACGUCUCUCCACGCGGCUGCGCCUAUAAGUGUGCGGUGUCUCCUAACCCUAGCCGCCACGAACAGAUCACAUCUGCUCCAUGCGCACGCCCACCGUCGUUCCCUUGCUGCUGCUGCCGCCGGUGACUCCAUCCCGUCCGCCGCGUACACGGUCGACGGGAGAGCAGGUCUCCGAAACCACGCCCUUCUGGUUCCUGUACGGGGUGAGGGGCGAAUAGGUUUUUGGGCAGCGAUUACGCGACUGCUCACUUCCGAUCGUCUACUUCCUCUACGUCCGCGUCGCCUUCAUCAUCACCAUGUCCACCGACGCCGAACGUGCCGCCGCCGAGAAAGCCGAAGCUGACAAGAAGGCCGCCGAGGACGCCGCUGCUGCCACCAAAGCCGCGGCCUCUGCAUGGCCUACUGGAGGGUAUAACUCGUUUAUCCCGCUCCUACUGUUUUCUGUUUUAGCCAUGCUAGCGUUAUACGUAGAUCUUUCUGCAAUUAGCGUAGUAUGUGCUACUUUGACUGAAUAUCAGUAUGCGAUCAUAUGUGUCAAUGCCAUGCUAGUGAUUUACUCGUGGAUUAAUUUAAUCGAGAAAUUGCCUAUUUACUCAACAAUCCAAAAACCUAUUAUGUGUAGGAAUUUUUCGGCAAGUGGCUUUGCCGCUGCACUGAAACCGGAUAAGUUUACCGGUACAUACUUUAAGCGUUGGCAGACUAAGACCACGUUAUGGCUCACGGCUAUGAACGUGUUCUGGGUCACUGGUGUCUCCACGGGAACGAUUGCUCCUGAACAGGAGAAGGCGUUCAAGGAGGCUACCGUUGUGUUUCUCGGAGCAGUUCUCAGCGUGAUCGGAGAUAAACUGGUCGACGCAUAUUUACAUGUGCAUGUUGCCAAGGACUUGUGGGAGGCGCUCAAAUCUAAGUUCGGGGCAGCCGAUGCCGGAAGCGAGAUGUAUAUUAUAGAGCAGUUCCAUGAUUACAAGAUGGUUGAAAACCGUCCUGUAUUGGAGCAGGCUCAUGAGAUAAUAUGCAUUGUUAAGGAGCUUGAACUUCUUAAGUGCGAGUUACCGGGUAAGUUUGUCGCGGGCUGCAUAAUCGCUAAGCUCCCUAAUUCCUGGAGGAACUUUGCCACAACUCUGAAACAUCAGAGGCGUGAAUUCUCUGUGGAGGAUGUCAUUGGCCAUCUGAGUGUUGAGUAGAAUUCAAGGGCAAAGGACUCGCAUGGAAAAGGGGCCGAAGGGACUUCUGUCGCCAACAUGGUGAACCAGAAGAACUUCAACUCCCACAAGCCCAAGGGAAAGAACGGUGUCCAACACAAUACCGACUUUAAGAAGAAGAGUAAGAAGACCUUCAAGAAGAACAAGAAGGACGAGGGCUGCUUCACUUGUGGUUCGGUUGAACAUUGGGCCAACAAGUGCCCAAACAAGUACAAGAAGUCAGGACAGGACUCCAAGUCCGUCAACAUGAUUGUGGACAACAAUGAGAAUGGUGCACCUGGGUACAGUAAUUUAUUUAUUAUUUUUUCAGUGUUUCAGCCCACCGAUUGGUGGGUGGACACACGUGCAGGUGUACAUGUGUGUGCUGACAUGUCAUUGUUCACUUCUUAUCAGGUCACAGGCCACGGGUCCGUAUUGAUGGGGAAUGUCGCGAGUGCUUCUGUUCAUGGUGUUGGCACGGUCGAUCUGAAGUUUACUUCGGGAAGGAUCGUGCAGCUGAAGAACGUGCAGCAUGUCCCCACCAUCAAGAAGAACCUCGUUAGUGGCUCCCUUCUAUGCAGAGAAGGGUUUAAGUUGGUUUUCGAGUCUAAUAAAUUAGUUGUUACGAAAUAUGGACUCUUUGUUGGAAAAGGUUAUGAGAGCGGAGGGAUGUUCCGCCUUUCCCUCGCAGAUUUUUGUAAUAAAGUCGUGAACCAUGUUCAUUCGAAUGUUAAUGAAUCUGAGGUUUGGCAUUCACGUCUUUGUCACAUUAGUUUCGGUGUUAUGACGCGGCUAGCCAAGUUGGAUUUAAUCCCGAGUUUUACUUUAGCCAAAGGCUCUAAGUGCCUUUCAUGUGUGCAAGCUAAGCAACCUCGCAAGCCUCACAAGGCCGCGGAGGAGAGACACUUGGCACCAUUAGAACUCAUACAUUCUGAUCUUUGUGAGAUGAAUGGUGUGUUGACUAAAGGUGGAAAGAAAUACUUCAUGACAUUGAUAGAUGAUUCCUCUAGAUAUUGCUAUGUGUACCUGUUAAAUACUAAAGAUGAGGCUCUACACUACUUUAAAAUCUAUAAGGCAGAAGUUGAGAAUCAACUUGAAAAGAAAAUUAAACGAGUCCGGUCAGAUCGUGGUGGAGAGUACUUCUCGAGUGAGUUUGAUUCCUUCUGUGCGGAACACGCAUUAUUCAUGAGAGGACGCCUCCCUAUUCACCCCAGUCAAACGGGGUUGCCGAGCGGAAAAACCGUACUCUAACUGAUUUGGUUAACGCCAUGUUAGAUACAUCGGUUUUAUCCAAGGCAUGGUGGGGGGAGGCUAUAUUGACGGCAUGUCAUGUCCUGAAUAAAGUUCCGACAAAGGAUAAUGAGAUCACUCCCUAUGAGAAAUGGGCAAAGAGGAGGACAACACUCUCGUACUUGCGCACUUGGGGCUGUCUGGCGAAAGUCAAUGUGCCGAUCCCCAAAAAGCGUAAGCUUGGACCCAAGACUGUGGACUGCGUUAAUUUGGGCUACGCUAAGAACAGCGUUGGCUAUAGAUUUCUAGUAGUGAAAUCUGAGGUACCUGACCAGAAGGUCGGUACAAUUAUGGAGUCCAAGGAUGCUACAUUCUUCGAGGAUACUUUUCCUAUGAGAGAUAUGCAAAGCACUUCUAGACAGGAAUCUGAGGAGACUCCUGAACCUGCCAUCCCUAUGGAAUAUUAUGAACAAACACAUGAUGAAAAUCCUGAGGAGGAUGACGAGGAAACCCUUGGUAGGGAAGAGACAAAGGACUACAAAGACCUUUGGUGAUGAUUUCUUCGUGUACCUCGUGGAUGAUACUCCCACUUCUAUUUCAGAAGCGUAUGCCUCUUCAGAAGCUGACUACUGGAAGGAUGCGGUCCGUAAUGAGAUGGAUUCCAUCAUGGCUAACGGGACAUGGGAGAUCACUGAACGUCCCUAUGGUUGCAAACCAUUAGGAUGUAAGUGGGUGUUCAAGAAGAAGCUUAGGCCCGAUGGUACAAGUGAAAAGUACAAGGCUAGGCUUGUGGCCAAGGGCUAUGACCAGAAAGAAGAGGAAGAUUACUUCGACACUUAUUCACCUGUAGCUAGACUGACCACCAUUCGAGUAUUACUCUCGUUGGCAGCCUCGCAUGGUCUUCUCGUCCACCAGAUGGAUGUUAAGACGGCUUUUCUGAAUUGAGAGCUAAAAGAGGAAAUCUACAUGCAACAGCCAGAUGGCUUUGUGAUAGAUGGUCAGGAAAGAAAGGUGUGUAGGUUGCUGAAAUCUUUAUAUGGCCUGAAGCAAGCACCUAAGCAAUGGCAUGAUAAGUUUAAUACAACUCUGACAUCUGUUGGUUUCGUUGUUAAUGAGGCUGACAAAUGUGUAUACUAUCGCCAUGGUGGGGGCGAAGGAGUUAUACUGUGCUUGUAUGUUGAUGACAUACUGAUAUUCGGAACCAACCUCAAAGUCAUUGAGGAGGUCAAGUCGUUUUUGUCUCAAAACUUUGAGAUGAAAGACCUUGAUGUGGCUGAUGUUAUCUUGAACAUCAAGCUACUGAGAGAUAAUGAGGGUGGGAUUACACUUCUGCAAUCCCACUAUGUUGAGAAGGUGUUGAGUCGUUUUGGAUAUUCGGAUUGCACACCAUCUCAAACACCAUAUGAUCCUAGCGUGUUGAUUCGAAAGUCCAAAGGCUCGGCUAUAGAUCAGUUGAGAUACUCUCAAAUCAUUGGUUCACUGAUGUACCUAGCGAGCGCAACGAGGCCCGACAUCGCGUUUGCUGUGAGCAAACUGAGCCGGUUUGUUUCCAAACCGGGUGAUGUACAUUGGCAUGCUGUUGAACGAGUCAUGCGCUAUCUGAAAGGUACUAUGAACUAUGGACUUCACUAUGCCGGAGACCCGUCGGUACUUGAAGGGUAUAGUGAUGCAAAUUGGAUCUCUGAUGCUGAUGAGAUGAAGGCCACAACUGGGUAUAUGUUUACUCUUGGAGGUGGCGCUGUUUCCUGGAAGUCUUGCAAGCAAACGAUCUUAACGAGAUCGACAAUGGAAGCAGAAUUAACGGCAUUAGACACAUCUGGUGUUGAAGCGAGAUGGCUUCGAGAUCUUUUGAUGGACUUGCCAUUGGUUGAUAAACCGGUUCCGGCUAUCCUUAUGAACUGUGACAAUCAGACUGUCAUCACCAAGGUGAAGAGUUCAAAGGACAACAUGAAGUCCACCAAACACAUAAGAAUGAGAUUAAAAGCUGUCAGAAAAUUAAGAAACUCCGGAGUGAUAGCGUUGGACUAUGUCCAUACGGCUAAGAAUCUGGCAGAUCCCUUUACGAAAGGGCUAUCACGUGUUGUGAUAGAUAAUGCAUCGAGGGAGAUGGGUAUGAGACCCACAUGAGUUGCCAUGGUAGUAACCCAACCUAUGUGAUCGGAGAUCCCGUGAAUUAGGACCUGGGAAAACAAGCCAGUGGUGAACUGAGGAGAGUAAAUAUACUAACCCACUCCGUUGGAGAUGCAAUACUCUCGAUACUGUAUUGUAGGAUGACUACUGUCUUAAUGUGUUCCGAAGCUUAUAUAAGCAAGAUGCUAUCCUACAGAGUGAUCUUUGAAGGAACACACCUAUAUGAGUCCGACUGCUGGUCACAGUCUAUGAGAUUGGGGUGAUCUCUAGUAAGCUCAUGAAUAGGCCAGGAGUGUGACUUAUAUGCUCCACCCGAGGGGUCAGCCUUCGGCAGCCCAGUACUAGUGAGACAUGUGGUGAAACUUCUUUACGCCAAACUGACAAUUCAAGGCAUAGUCCAUUGUUCAGUUGUGAAGGAGUGUAGCUACUUGCUCUAGGUGAAGCUCAACCUUAACAGGUCUUCACUGAAACACUGGUAUAUCGAAACAGUAAUUGGAACAGAGGACACAAUGGGCCCUCGAGAUCUGGUGGGGGAUUGCUGAAAUUUGAGAUGGGCUCUAGGCCCAUGUAGCAAUUUCUGAAAAAUCUCUAAGGGCCCAUGUGGGUUAUAUGGCACUAGGUGUAGUGGGAAGUUUAGUCCCACCCCGGAAGUGGAAGAGGAGUUGGACCUCCUUAUAAGGGUUUCUCUUCUACAUGCUAUUGGAGCUUGAGAAGAGAAGAGGCCCUCGCGCACUCCUCCUCCGCCGCCCGCCUCGCCACGCCACGCCACGCCUCGUCACGACGCGCCGCGCCGCGCCGCGGGUUGCGGGAUUGAGCCGAGCCGGGCUUACACCUACGUGCUUAUUUUUGCCAGUCACUAACGGAGAGUUCUCUGACAGCUGGGCCACGAUCUGAGACGUCGGAUCGUGGGCUGUCACGGACUCGGACGUGGGUCGAGCCCACGCGGCUGCGCCUAUAAGUGUGCGGUGUCUCCUAACCCUAGCCGCCACGAACAGAUCACAUCUGCUCCACGCGCACGCCCACCGUCGUUCCCUUGCUGCUGCUGCCGCCGGUGACUCCAUCCCGUCCGCCGCGUACACGGUCAACGGGAGAGCAGACCUCCGAAACCACGCCCUUCUGGUUCCUGUACGGGGUGAGGGGCGAAUAGGUUUUUGGGCAGCGAUUACGCGACUGCUCACUUCCGAUCGUCUACUUCCUCUACGUCCGCGUCGCCUUCAUCAUCACCAUGUCCACCGACGCCGAACGUGCCGCCGCCGAGAAAGCUGAAGCUGACAAGAAGGCCGCCGAGGACGCCGCUGCUGCCACCAAAGCCGCGGCCUCUGCAUGGCCUACUGGAGGGUAUAACUCGUUUAUCCCGCUCCUACUGUUUUCUGUUUUAGCCAUGCUAGCGUUAUACGUAGAUCUUUCUGCAAUUAGCGUAGUAUGUGCUACUUUGACUGAAUAUCAGUAUGCGAUCAUAUGUGUCAAUGCCAUGCUAGUGAUUUACUCGUGGAUUAAUUUAAUCGAGAAAUUGCCUAUUUACUCAACACUAUCUGGGGUCGUGCGUUGGAGGUUGCCUAACCAGAGCAUUGAAAAGUGUGCCUGGUGCUCAGAGCUGGCAUCCUGGCAACACCCCAAUGGCUGCUCCCAUCCCACUGGGAACGCCCAUCACAGUCUGGCGUGCGUGCGCAUCGCCAAGGCCGCAGGGCGCCGCAGACGCUGCGGCGUGGUGCGUUGCAUGGCGAGGUCAGUUCCGUUCAGGUGGCCUGCCCGCCUUGCCUUGCAAGAGACAAGUGGCUUGCCAAGUACGCGACGGGCGAUUCCCCGGCCUGCCUGCAUCUGACAACAAGACACCUCCUCCGUCCGUCACAAGAUCUCAGGACAAAAUCUAGGAUCUGCCACCACCGCCCAGCCACAGCCAGCGAGCGCGCGCGCGCGAGAGCCCUGCCUCUGGCCCUCCUCUGCCUUGCAAAAAGCGCAUUGGCCGGCCGACUGGCCUCGCACUGUUGGCUCUGCUGGGGGUUGCCAUGGCAUGCACCCCCAUCAGAGGAGCCCAGAGCUUUUUACCGCCCCUUCUCCAGCAGCCCCUGCCACCACCACCAGGUCAGGUCACGUCUUCUCCACGCCUCGUCGAUGGGAUCGCACCCGGCAGAAGCCAGCCACUCAUGAUCCAGAAGCUUCAGAAACAAAAACGAAAAAUCACCACGCGCGGCAGUAUUCUCAACAGUUCAUAUUGAUGAUUUGUUGCUCUAUGUUUCAAGCACCACAGGUUCUUUACAUUCCAGACAAGCUCACUCACUCAACAUCCAGGCCAAUAUCUGCAAGCAGCUAAAGACGACACAAUUUGACACAAUUUUUACAAGCACACGAACACGGAAGAAGAUGCUUCAAAGCUGAAGCAUGCUAUAAAGACAGCAGCAGCAGGAGCAAGCAAGCAGGCAGGCAGGCAGGCUUCACUUCUCUUGACAGCUUAUUGAUGAAGAGGAAAUCUUGGUUCAUGGAGACUCCGGCCAGUCGAUCCCGGCGAAGGCGCCCUCGCCGAACCCGCCGCCGUAGAACCUGACCUCGAGCCCCUCGAGGGCGUGGCCGUCGUCCCACAGGGCCUCCUCGUCGUCGCUCCCGGCGGCGAAGUAGUCCUCGUCGUCCAUGUACUCCUCCCACGAGUAGAUGGAGUCGUCGUCCGAGUCGUCGGAGCACUCCUCCAGGAAGCUGUUCUCGUAGCAGUCGUCCACGCGGGGGCCCAGGACCUUGAGCCCCGGGUACUUGUCCUGCAGCAGCUUGUCGUCCACGCCCCAGCAGCCGCGCAGGUCCAGGAAGCUGAGGUCGCGGCACCGGGACGCGAUCUCCACCACGGCGUUGGUCGCGAUCAGCAUGUACCCGAUCUCCAGGUGCCGGAGCUUCGGCAUGCUGCACGCGAUGGCGCGGGCCUCGUCGUGCUGGCACACCUUGCCGGCGACGUCUAUGGGGUGCAUCACCCGCCGGAGCCCCACCAGGGACUUGCAGUUCUUGCCGAACGCCUCCAGGGCGCGGGCGCCGAUCUUGGUGCAGCUGCUGACGUCCAGGAACGUGACGUUGGACAGCCUUUGCGCGACGUCUUCCACGAUGCAGUCGCUGAUCUCGCUCCUCGGAAGCUCCAGGGUCUUGAGAGAUCGCGCGCUUACAAAAGCAAACACGGUAGGGUCAGUACAGUUCAACAAAAUAUUAUGGAUGGACAGGAUCACCGGUAAACAGAAGUAUAAUACACUAGAUACUACUACUAUGAUAGAUAACCCUUGUUUUAGUAGGGUCUAUAAUUGGAAUGUAACACAAAUAUUUCGAAAUGGACACAACCUGCUCGAUUAAAUGCUAUUAGCGGCGGCUAUGAACUGAGUUCCUAACAUUUAGCACAGUCAGAAAAUAGAUCAGAGCCAGGGAGCAGUGGAGCAUUGUAUAGAGUUGGGGGAUGGUUGGUGAUACCAUUUUGAACAUGUUCUUCUGCAUUGUACACAUAUGCAGGAUAUGGCACCAUGUUCGCAACAUUCAUCACUAUCAGAAAACAGAUUGAGCAAGAGGAGUAUUAUUGUGCUAGAAGCUUGACAACACUACCCAUAACCCAAUAUUUAUGAUCGGUGCACUGGAAUGAUACUCCAUUUGUAUUUAUGCAACUGAAUCAAUAGUUUACGAAAAUAAUUACUAAAACGUGCGACAAUUGUUUUUAAAUGAUUGAAUUCAGCGAUAAUAGAGCGGACCAUAUUGUGUAAAGACAAAUACAGCAGCAAGGAAAGUAAUUUUGGAUUCAAUUAUGUUACACAUAAGUUACUUGUUAUAUCAUUAGCAUAUGAUUCUCUAAUGAAUAGACGCAUUAACAUUCAUGCCCAUGUUGCGACGUUUCUCAGAGAUUUGGGCCCUCGAUCGUCUGAUCAUGUCAUCCAGCCGAUCUCCGCCGUUCAUUUUCUUACGGCAGGCGCUAAAACCCUACACACACCCCUCGCGCCCUUUUGUCUACCGUGGCCACCACUCUCUUGCUUCCCGCCCCUCCUCCCCGUCGCCCUCCUCCCCCCUCCUCCCUCUAACCGCCUCAGUGAUCCAGCUCCUAUAAUGCAAUCACACAGCCAUGAUAUUUCACCUGCCACUACACCUUGUCACAACCUAAACCAUAUUAUUUUCUCAAAAAAGAAAACUUAUUCCGCACGAAAGCUCUCAUGCAUUAGGCAAGGAUGCUAUCGAAUCUGAAGAAGUACUCCAGCAACGUGCACAUUUCCACCAGUUAAUGGUCCACAACUAAUAAAAAAAAUACCGUUCCCAUCUAGGUUAUCAAAUCUCAUCAGGAAAGCAUCAUCCAACAUAAAAAUGAUUUUGACAAAAGAACACUACUUACUGGUUGGCGAUGAAGGUGAACAACGAGUCAUUGGGAAGCCCGGACACGCUAAUGCGGCGGAACGAGUCACCGCUGCGAGUGACAAGCGUAUGAACCAUGCGGGUGAGCUGGUCAGGCUUGUUCUGCUGCUGGCUCCACUCCUGGAUGUCGAUCUCCUGCCAGCAGUAGGGCCCUGAGACCACCCGGCUCCAGGACUUGCAAACCCGGGGAACCACGGUGAGCAUCUCCUGAAGGGAGAGGUUGCGGAAGAUGAGUCCCAGGGCAUCUGGCAAUAGGUCCUCCCAGCAUCUUUCCUCACGGUGCUCUUCCAUCCCUGACCCUUCCAGGACUGAUCAUGCAAGUUGUAUGAUCCACCUGUUUCAGGAACAAUGAUACAUCACUCUCGGGUAAAAUUUCCUUAGUUCACACAGCAGAAGGAUUGAAGUAGCACAUUCAGAAUUUCAUGGUGACUCAUAUUAGCAGUGCCAAGGUGCUUUCCUAUGCUAUGAAAAAAAUUCCAGAAAUCAACAUUUAUUUCGAGAUAAUAAGUUGCCAGUAUUUCAAGACCACCAUAAAGGAGCAGCUACCAAGGUACAGAAAAAUAAAACCCAGCGAAGACGAAAAAAUUCCCAGAGAAAAAGCUUCCCCUGACCUGCGAAGAGAGAACUCGCACGCUGCAACAAAACUAGAGGAAGAAAUGAGCUCGAACCGAGAUGGCUGGGAGAAGGGGAGGAAACAUGAACUUUCUUUUACCAGUCCAAGAGGCUGGCUAGAUAUGGCAGAGCGCCUAGAGCACCGCACGCGGGCACCAAAAAUAGCACCCCCUCUUGGAGCAAAGCGGGCCGGUCACUGGGAGCGAGGACCCAAAUCAGGAAACCUAUCCAAGAACCAGACGCGGAGCAGCAGCAGCAAGAUGCGAGCGCCAACCAAAAGCCGGCCAUGGAAUUAAACUUUGUUAAACAUCAACUCACUCACACCAACCAGCGAGUACCAGGAGAGAGGAGGACGCAGAUCUAAAGCAGCGCCUCCGCCAGAGACGAGGAAUUCGAGAAAGCGGCGGCGGGGGGGACACCCGGCGCGGCAAUUGGCGGCGCCAAUCUAUAUACUACUCCGGUCUCUACAGGCCGCAGGCGGCGAAAGGCGUGGAUACGAUGGCGAGAAAGAACGCAAAAGCUUGGCCGGCCUUUCCAUCCAUGAUUUUUUUGUUCUUUCGCGAAAGGAGAAGGGAGGCGAAUAAGAAUAAGAUAGAGACCCGUCUUUUUCUUUCGCCCCCCGCCUUGGGAAGGAUUCGCGGGCCGGCCGGGAGGGAGAAUAACGUUGACGGCGUGGUGAGAAGGCGGGGCGGCGAGGUGGCCGAGAGGGAGGAGGCUUACCGGGCGGCGGCGGCGGAGGCGGUGGUGGCGGUGGCGGUGGCGACGGUGGUGAUGCUCUUUGGAUCUGUGGAGCGGAGCGGGGGCGUCUCGGUAGGGAAGGAGGAGGGGUGUGGGGAGGGGGAGGGAGACAGAGUUGAGUGUAACAGUGGAGGGGUGAAGUGGUCGGCGAGAGGACCGGAAAGUCUUUCUCCUUUUGUUGCGGGCGCGUGCCUUUUGCGGUGCAGCGGGGAUGAAAAACGCGGCCUGGAUUCAGGCCGGGCCGAGCGGGUGAGUGAUUCUGAAGCUCAAACGUGACGGGAUCGCAGGUCUUCAAACUUAAACGUGGCACGCUCCGGCUCGAACGAAGGGACCGUGGAUCGAGCGGGUCAUGCUUCUUGUUAGAUACAGUAAAAAAAUGUGUUGAUGGUGACACAAGAUUUAUCUGUGAUGCUACGGUGUGUGAGUUAGAUUUAUCUCUCCUCUUGCGAUAAGCAGGGCGAAAGGGACGCCACCACUCCAACCGCUCUACGCCGGCAAGGGCGUCGGUCCCCUCCUCCUCCUCUCGCCGGUCUGGCGGCGGGAGGGGGCGGGGACCCCGUCUCUGCGCUUUGGCGCUGUAGAUAGGGUAGCUAGGGUUAGGUUUAGGGCUUCCGGCGGUGGCAUCGGCGUUGUCGAGGGGAAUAAGGAUCGCUCGGCUCCUUGUCCACCAUCCCGGCGGCGGUUUCGUUGUCGGCGGUGAGGAGAGCGAGGCGUGGCUUGGUCGUUGUCCUUCUGGGGCGGUGGAUCCUGGUGUUGGAGCCCUGGGUGCUUGCGGCGUGACGGUGGCACUACCAGCUCAGCAGGUUUUUGUUUCCCGGCUCUGUCCCUGUUGCAGCGGCACCGAGCUUGGGGAGGUUGUGGGCCUCGUGGAGGCCAUGUGUAGGUGGAUUGAUGGGAUUCUCAGAUCGGUGGCUUCGAAUCCGGCGUUCACGGGUGCUUCUUCGGGUGUUUACCAGUGAUGACUUCCCGUCUGCAUGAGACUACAAGGUUCGCCGGAAUCUGGCAGCAGGGCUGCCGGAGCAGCUGCGGCGGCGCACCAUCGACUCAUCCAGAAAGAAGGGUCGAGAAGCUUCUCAGGGAUCUAGCUGUAAUUUUCUUUCUUUUGGGGUUGCCUUGUAAUGCUGGUUAGUGAUUAGAUCUGAGGGUCUAUUUCGCAAAAAGAAAAGAUUUCAAUGGUAAUAUGGUAUGGUAGAUAUUUCCUAAAUUAAUGUGGGGUCGAUGUGUUCAUCUGUUUUUUAUGGCUUUUGUUGCUUGUAAAGGACGUUAGGGAUAUGUAUAUUCGUUUUCAAAUUGUAGCUAUCACUUCUCUAAGUAGAUUUGUUUUUUAUAAUGUCAUGCGAGUAUUGUUCGUCAAUACGACCGUUCACCUUCCCAUAUUUUUUCUGGUUUGAAAACGUCUGAGGCCUUUACUCGUCUUAUGGCCCAACAAUCCAAUGGUUUGGGGCUUGGUCCCUCAUUCCCUCAUUGUUCAAAUGUCGCGUUCGCUCUAGAUGUUGCCGUCAACUAAUAGCACAGACCCCCCUUUCUCCCCCGAUGCACGCGCUAAAGGCCACAGACAAUAACGACAAAGUGAUUAUCUCUAUCCUAGACCAAAUAUCCAAUAAUAAAUUAGCUCUUAAGUGCAUCAUCAUCCAGAUUCAUCAAGCGAACAAUUAGAGAAACGCUCGUACAGGAAAGAACAUCAAAGGAGAGAAAACACACAAAACAUUUCCAUGUCUAUGCUUCUAGCUAGAAAAUUAUGGUAAAAUAAAACAAAUAAAAUUGAGACUUUCUAAACAACUUUUGGAAUAAAAGAAUUCCAAUCUUCAACCACCAGUUCCCUAACUAGGUUUGUUUUCGACCAUGUGCCACUAGUUAUAUCCUACUACCAACCCCUUCAUGUGGUUUUGUAAUUUGACAGUGAUUGGGCACCUGUAUAUGCUUCUCGCAAUUUACACUAAGGUAAAAUAACUAUGAUUGAGACUUUGUAAAGGACUUUUGGGGUGGACUUUUUUCUUCAAAAUUUUAACUAUCACUCCCCUAACUAGACUUGUUUCUGACCAUGUCCCACUAGUCAUAUUCGCCGCUACAACCGUUACACUUCCCAUGUUUUUUCAAUUUGAAAACGCUUGAACCCUUUAGUUGUCUUGGGACCCAACAAUCUAGUGCCCUGGGAUUUGGCCCAUCAUCAUUCAAACAUCAUGUGUUCUCUCUGGUAACCGCCAUCAAGCCAUAAAGCAUUGCACUUACAAGAUGGCACAAAUUCUUCUCCCCACAAACCAAGAGAAAAAUAACUACAGGGUGGUUAUCUCCAUAUUGGAACCAAUUGGGGACAUUUGUUUACUAUCCUACCACAAAUUAGCUAUCAGACGGGUCAUCGUCCAAAUCCUUCAACGUAUAAGGAGAGAAAAUGUUUCCUAUUGGAAACAACGAGGCAAAGUCAAGGUUGUCAUUGAAGGUGACGAAAAACAAUAUUUUCCUUGUUUUUUACUUCUUACUUCUUACACAUCAAUAAAAUAAUUAUUAUUGAGCUAAACGGGGUUGAUUUUUUUCUCAUGAGCAAGAUUGGAAAUUCUAACUUCUUAGUUCUCCUCUCCCUAGGCACCACCUUCCCCAUCAUGGAAUUUCUCUCCAUGACAUUCGUAUCCAUAACCCCUUCCCCAACUAAGGAACCUAGACCAACCCUUCUCAGAAUAAGAAAUUACAUGUGUUUUGCUAAUCAUGAAAUCGAAGGCUAUACACGAGCCUAGUUUUUAGAAGAAAAAAAUAACACAACUUCACCAAACAAAAAGAUAUACUAAUAUUGAGUGACUUCUAUGAUAAGAAAGCAAUAGACCUUAGUCUAAAUCGAACACAUUUUGCAAUACUACCUAUGUUAACGAAGUGCACGCUAGAGGCUUCCAAACCUAUUUCCCUUGAGAACUGUCCUGAAAAGCCAUUGCAAAAGUUCUAGCAUAUUAACUACAACUCUCAUUACCACUACUUGUCCAUUUUAACCAAAACAGUUCCCUCUCAGUCCAUCUUUUUGCGCAGCAGAUUAUUUACACUACCGAUAUAAAAUAGACGCACCCACCAUCAUAUUAAAACUUUAGUUAAAACCUAUUUUUGAAUCCAUCUGCCAAGAUUCCCUUCUCCACAUCCUACACCACGAUGGUUUCCUUUAAAGAUGACGUGCAUGGAUUAAAUUCAUCCUAAUGAUGUGCAGAACGACCAUCCUGCUAAAUGUCUUCCAGGACCCUGGAUCACUUGUAGAAGUGGGCUAUGAUAAGGAAAGCCGCUUUCUCCCUACUUAUUCAUCAUCAUACCCCAUGUAUUGCAUGAUUUUAUCCAUCACGUUGUCGGGAAAUGUAGUAGAAAACAAAAAAAACGCCCUACGAAUCAAAUUCUCGGGAUCAUUAUGAAGAUGCAUAAGGGUUUAGAUCAGAUCGUUACCAACCCGGAGUUGCAGUGGAAGAAGAGUUGGUGAAUAAUCAUUGAUGCAGAUUCUCGUAGCUAGGAUUUACAACCUCCCAUCACCGAGAAUAAUCUCCCUCUAACAAAGAUAGAAAGUACAAUCUCUAUAUCGGAUUGCACGCAUACGAGAUCUGUGAUCCAACAACGCUUACCCAUCCAGAACUAGGCAUCGCUGGAGAACUAAAAGAGUGAGGAGCAGCCUUGCGGCGAGACAAACUUUUCAUGGAGAAUGAGUGAGGGGGCGGGGGGGGGGGGCAGCCCUUGCAUUGAUAUUGUGUGCAAAAGAGGCGAUGCCCCCUCCACUAUUUAUAGGAGAAGAGGAGAUGGGCGCCUUGGGAGAGGGGGCAACCACCAAGGGGUGCUCCCCAUCUAGGGCCGGCUCCGCCCCCCAAGGGAGUGCACCCCCUCCAACCCUAGCUGCACCAAAGGGAGCCUUGCCCACCAAGUUGUUGAAAAUAUGCCCUAGAGGCAAUUAUAUUAUAUUAUUUAUUUCCACAUUUAUAAUUAAGAGUUUAUAUUCUAUGUUAUAACUGCUAUGAUGCUGGAAUAUGCGAUUUAACGGAAAACACAUUAGCACAUGUGGAAUGAUAAACGGUAAAACCCAAUUCCUAGUAUCGUCUCCAGGACUAGCUCAAGUGUUGUAUGUUGAUCAUGUUUCCUGAAUCUUGGGAUAUCGUUAAGUGUAAUGAUAGUCCCAAAACAACAUUGAGAGUAUUAUGUUAGAAGAAUAAUCAUAUUGAAUCAACCCAACUUGUUUGUUAUACUUUGAGAUGCAAUCGUCACUAGUUAAUUGAUAUAACACGAAGAGUUAACGUAUGCUUUAGUCCCUUGGACCAUGAGAGUGUCGUAGUCACUUAUUACCGGACGAUGGACUUUGGGAUUGCUCAAAUGUCAUCUGUAACCGGUGAUCAUAACGAAAACUUUCGGGUUCAUCGGAAAGUAUGACAAGGGGCUAGAUAGCUCAAGACUGAGAUUUGCUCCUCCGACGAUGGAGAGAUAUUCUUAGGGCCCUCUCAGUGUGCCAACAUCUAUCAUUGUUUGGCCAGACACAGGUGACUAGUUCAUAGAGAUGCCGAAACAUGUCAAUGAGAAAGAAUAACAAAACCUGUAACAAGGAGACCGGUAUAGUGAGCAUGAGAAUGACUCAAGAGGAUACUGAUAUAUCUCACCUCAGUUUUUGUAAGUAUCGCAAAGCAAGGGGAAUAGAACAUCAUAACCAAAGGUUCACUCGAAUAUCAUUCAUGUAUUCAUAGGGAUCAAUAUGGAUGUCCACGGUUCCGCUAUUGGUCAUUGGAUGAAACGGAGCUUCGUUCAUGUCUAUGUUUUGCUGAACCUACAAGGUCAAAAGCUUAAGGAAAUCACGAUAUGUCGAGUGCUAGUGGAGUAAGAGUUAUGAAACAAUAUUCAAUAAAUAGUUUUGCGAAUAUUAGAAAUAGUUUAGUACCACCCUAGAAGUUGUAGAAUUUCUGAAAUCCCAAACUAGGCCCAUGAAUAAAUGGCAAGUGGUGGUUCUAAAGUUUAGUACCACCCUCAGUUGAGGAGGUGGAGACCUCUUUAUAUAGUGGGCUCUUUACACCACACUUAGUCAUGUUUGAAGGAGAGAAAUAGAAGACCAAAUGUGUGCGCUCGCUCGCCUCGCCUUGCUCGGGCACGGGCUAGGGCCGGCGUGUGCGUGCGACAUGCGCCUGAGUGGUCCGCCGAAAUCUGGCAUGUUUCCUUGCAGGGGCGCGGUUUCAUUUUGCUGUUUUAUUUCUUGAUGUCUUGAUAGACAAGUUAAUUAUUUCUUGCCUGGUAAGUAUACAACUUAGAAUCAAGUCAGUUUCAGAUCGUGAUCGCGACACGAUGCCGCCUAUGGUCCUAUUAUAUAUACUUCCACCUGCCACAGCAAAGACAUAACGAAAGCACCUAGUGUUUUGCCCUAUCUCGCAACUUGUGUUGCCACCGUAAUCUACUCCGUCGUGAACGCCGGCGUGCGGGAGAGCAGGUCUCCAGAAUCGUUUGUCCUUGCUAUCCUGCACUGGGAGAGGGCGAAUUAUGUUUUUGGGAAGCGCUCUGCACGACUGCUUAAGUUCCUCAUCACGGGUCGUCUUCUGUCCAAGUCAGGCGGCGCUACUCAUCGUCAUCUCCAACGCUGCCAGCAACAGAUCGUCGCCAACAUCGUCAUUAAUAAUGUGUCUCCUGCAAAAACUAAUGAACAACAUGUCCAUCGUGAUCUGUUCGUAUCUCAAUUUGUUGUUGUUGUUGUACAUGUGCGAUGCUGUUGUGCAUGUGUUUAUUGUUCAUCUAGUAUGCUAGAUUAUUUAUGCUAUUUUAUGUUUUAGUCAUAAAUUAUUUACUGAAAUUAAUCAUGAACUUGCCCAAUUUUCCAAAAGUUUCUCCGUCUAGGUUUAUAAGCCCCCUCCUAUUUUGGAUCAAAAUUUGACCAUAGAUUUAACUAGCAAAAUAUAACUUACAUACCACAAACUUACAUCAUUGAAUUCACAUUUAAAAAAAGUUUUGGAUGGUAUUAUUUUCAAUACAUGCAACUUAUAAUUUAUUACCUAAAUUGAUGGUCAAAGUUAGACCCAAGCUACGAGUAGGACUAAUAAACCCGGACGGAGGAAGUACGCCGUAUAGCUUAAUUUGAAGUUCUUAAAACAAAUCGCUGUUUUCUUCUUUCAAAUGCCUCACGCACAGGCAUAUGCCCUGCUCCACUCUAGCCAGAGACGGCACAAGCCCACUCAACGCUCCACCGUCUAUAUCCUUCGCUCGCGUCUCUUUCACUAGCAACCACUCAUACUAGCCUGCCGUCUCCUUUUCCUCCGUCACCGUCACCGUCACCUUUCUCCGCUUGUAGUUAACCUCCAUCCUUUUAACCCAGCUAUACAUUUGCCCUUGCCGGGACGCAACACCAAAACAUGUGUAGAUCGCCACCUCUUCCAAGUUAUUUGACGCGAUCACAACCUCAGUCAACUCUUUUUUUUGCGGGUGAACCUCAGCCAACUGAUUGUCCUUUUCCUAUGGGCAAACAAACAUACAUCAGCACUAUGUCUAUGCUAGAGAAGUAUCGACGGCGACAUGCACUUUGCUCAUCGUCCCACACUCCUACCGGCUACCCCUACCCCUCUCCGGUUGCCACGAGUAGACCCGCCAUAUUAGCGCAUUAACGAAGAGGCCCGGCCCGAGGCCUAAGACCCGUCGGGCUUUUAUGCUGACGGAUCGGGCUUGGGCCUGAUUUUUACGCCCAACAGCUAGGCCGGGCCGGGCCUAGGCCUGGGUUUUUCAUAACGGGCUUGGUUAGGUCUGACCCGAAGCCCGGCCCGGCCCGAGGGAGGGCUAGGUAUAGCCACGAGGAACAGGGCACCGGGGGCGUGGAGCCGUCCGCUUGAAGACAUGAAGAUGGGCUCCCCGCCUCUUUCAAGUCGCAACGCAACCUAUCCCCUCUUUAUUCUAGGCGCAACGCUACAUGCCACCUCCACAGUUUCACGUGCGAGGUGCAGCCUUUCUGAAGAAACACAAAUCUCAAUCAAUAUGAGACCAUACAAAUCCAAUAAUUAUGAUUAUCAAACAUUUUUAAUUAUAUUACGAAUAUCAAACCUUUAUGACCUUAAGAAAGGCUUAAUAAACAACUACAAAAGAGAACACACAUGAGUACACCUCCUAAUUACAUCGCAUACAUCCACGUAUUUGUAAAUAUGAACAUCGAAAUUCAGUAGACUUAAAAAAACACGCAUGUUUAUACUCCCUCCAUUCCUAAAUAUAAGUCUUUGCAGAGAUUACACUAUGGACCACAUACGGAUGUAUAUAGAUGCAUUUAGAGUUUACAUUCACUCAUUUUGCUCCGUAUGUAGUCCAUAAUGAAAUCUCUACAAAGACUUAUAUUUAGGAACGGAGGGAGUAUAAUGUAAUAUAGUUAUAUGCGAGGCUAGGCUUUUGCAUAUUCUGAUUUUCUGGAUUGAGCUGAAAUCUUCUUUUGAAACACAUAUUUUGAUUCGUCAAAAUCUUCAAUGACACUACCUAUGGAGCCAAAUAAAUAAAUGAAAUCAUUUCCUAAACAGAUUCAGUUUGCAGCUGUUCACGUUCAAACUCACGUUCAUUUGGGAGGUUUAGAAAACAAAUUAAACAUGGAUAAUAGUGUUGUUUUACUGCAAGAGAGGUAUAAGUUUAGCCAUGUUAAAGGGGACUUAGAUUUUCUUCCAAGCUAUUCAAAGCCUAGAGACACAGACACUGACUGACAUGCCAUAGACUAAAAUCACAAGUAGAUCAACAGGCCAAUCAGCCUUUUGACAAACUUGCAUUUCUGAUGCGAAGUAAGCAUUUUUUAGUGGAUAUGAAGAAAAAGUGCUGCGCACAUGGCGUCGCUCUUUUUGACAAUCACAAGUCACAACCACUCCUUACUUGUGAAGUACUUCAUCCGCUUCUUUUUACUCUACAUAUAACAAGGUGUUUGGUUCCAGAUUGGUAACGCAAACGUAAACGUAAUGAGUUUACGGUGUUAAUGUAAACGGAAUGGACAAAACUUGAAAUUUGUUUGGUUACCUACUGUAACGUCAAUCAAUACCGGGGUUGUUCAAGAAUUCACGCCAGUGAACAUGGAUAGGCAGGCCGGGAACGGCAGUGGCGAGCCACCGUUGGAUAUGGCGGCGGAGUACAAGGGCCCGGACGGUAAGAGCACGAGUGAGCGACGCGGCUGCCGCUUCCGCCGCCGGCCGGCAAGCGGCGACCUGCCGUCAAGGCUGAAGGCCGAGGCGAGGCGCCGCAGGCAUGCUGAGGAGCGACGCGCCGGCGUCGAUGCCGCCGUCAGCUAGACACGACCAUGACCGGCGCUACAGGCACGUAUUCAACGCCGAAGCUUCCUUGCGGCGCAUGAGGAAGGAGGAAGGAGGCCGCAUAGCUCGUGCGAUCGCAUCUCGUGCGGAGAAGAUAUGGCUGUAGCGUUUUCUAUUACAGCAGAUUUCCAGCGGUAUCGGUUUUGUAUUAGGCUGGGAUUUGAUACCAUGUUAUCAGAUUACAGAGCAAGGGAAACAAACACGAUUUAGCGGGACCUGUUAACGGUGUAAUCAGAUUACGUUAUAGUAGCGCGAACCAAACACCUCCUAAGAUUUGUCUUAAGUUAAACUUUGUAAAGUUUGAUCAGAUUCAUAUGAAAAAAUAUUAACAUUUACUCUCUGUAAAGAAAUAUAACAUCGUUUAGAUCACUAAAGUAGUGAUCUAAACACUCUUGUAUUUCUUUACGGAGGGAGUACAAUACUAAGGAUAUAAAAUAUAAAAGUUAAUUUCAUGAUGCAUCUAAUGAAAAAGAUAUUGAUUUAAUAUUGUGAACGUUGUAUUUUCCCUAUAAUUAUGGAGUUUGGCUUAAGACAAAACUUAUAUGUGAAGUAAAAAAGAAACGUUAAGAGUAUAUGCGAAUAUCAAGUUAACAAUGUACAUGCACCAACCAGCCUCAUUGGUCCCCUGUAAAGCUUGAACAGAAUUAGAUUUUUCUAAAAAGAACUGUCCGAUCUUGUCUGUAUUGGUUUGCUUGUCCAGCCUAGUUCAUUUCGAGUUAAUACCCGCAGUUUCCAUGUAACGUCAAUGUCAAAAAUUUAUGUGGUUCUCGUGUCAUGUCAAUUGUCAAAACUUAAGUGGAUGAUACACGAGGUGUACUUAACCACUCGACAGCACGGCUGCUACUGUUGGCUUUGCGAAAGCUUUGCCCUUUUGUGCACUGUUUCUUUGAACCAUCUUUAUUCACCCUAUCCUCAUCGGUAGCCAAUAAAAAAGUAACCGUUCACACAUUAAAAUAUCCGCCCCACAUGUCCAGGCUUUAAAUUGUAGAAAGGAGAAUAGUGCGGAGCCCUGUCAUUUAGAGCAACUCCAACGCGCCGACCCGAACGGACGGCGCUUUUGUCUUUUUUGUCCGUGUAGGUCAGUCGCCUGUCCGGCGUCCGCCCUAUUUUAGAUUUGGGUCGGCAGUGCGUGCAAUGCGUCGACCUAUAUGUGACGGCGUGGCCGGCUGACCGCCCUAUUUCAACAAAUAACUCAUUUUUGCAUUGUUUCACACACAACUUUUGCAUUCAAACAUAUAGUCCAGAACUAAAUAACAUAGUUUCAACCCAAUAAAAUAGCAUAGUUUUACAAACCGAAUAAAAGUAAAAAUGUCUCACAUAGGUUUGUAAGCCGAAUAAAGAAAAUACAUCUAUUGGUUGCCAACAUGAGCCCACAUAUACUCAACCAAAUCAUUUUACAGUUGCACAUGAGUUUCCCAAUCAAGCAUGUCAUGAUGAAAUUGGGUGAACUGUUCAAACGUUGCCGUUCCUCCAUGCUCAGGCACAACAUUCUCACCUUGAAACUGAAACCCUUGAUCGUACAGACGUUCCGGGCGCUCAUCUUCUACGUUCAUAUUGUGCAUCAUCACACAAGCAGUCAUCACCUCCCACAGUUUCUGCGUGCUCCAAGUAUUAGCAGGAUAUCGAACGAUGCCCCAUCGAGAUUGCAAAGCACCAAAGGCACGCUCGACGUCCUUCCUAGCACUCUCUUGCUCUUGGGAAAAUCUUUUCCUCUUCUCUCCGACAGGAUUGGGGAUUGUAUUCACAAUAGUGGUCCACUGAGGAUAGAUACCGUCACCCAGGUAGUAUCAUUUGUCGUAGUCGUGGCCGUUGAUAGUAAAGUUCACCGGUGGGCUGUUGCCUUCGGCAAGCCUAGCAUUCACCGGCGAGCGCUGAAGCGCGUUGAUAUCAUUGUGUGAUCCGGCCAUGCCAAAGAAAGAGUGCCAGAUCCAGAGAUCUUGAGACGCCACGGCCUCUAGUAUGACAGUGCAAGCCCUGACAUGGCCCUUAUACUGCCCUUGCCAAGCAAAAGGGCGGUUCUUCCACUCCCAGUGCAUGCAGUCUAUGCUACCAAGCAUCCCUGGGAAGCCCCUGCUGGCAUUCAUUGCCAACAAACGGGUUGUAUCUUCAGGAGUCGACUCUCUCAAGUACUCAGGGUCAAACACAGCAAUAACAGCCUUGCAGAACUUAUACAAGGAGUCUAGACAUGUAGACUCGCUCAUACGGACGUACUCGUCAAUGAGAUCACCGGGCACUCCGCAUGCAAGCAUUCGGACGGCGGUAGUGCAUUUCUGAUAAGAGGAGAAACGAUCUUUCCAACGGCAUCCUCUUUGCACUCGAAAUAGUCAUCAUAGCCAACCACCCCAUCUCUAAUACGGUUGAAAAGAUGCCAACUCAUACCGAAACGAGGGUGGAAUUUCUGAUGUUUGAACAACGGAUUUGUUGUGUCAAAGUAGUCCUUCCAAAGAAGGAAAUGCCCGCUCUCUCGGUUGCGAUUCAACGCCGGAAGGUGGCCCUGAAUGGAGCCAUGGAACGCCGGACGCUGGUUAUUGAGGUGGUGAUGGACCAACGCGGUAGCCAAUAUCUCCUCCUCGUCAUCGGACGACGAAUCGUCGGACUCGCAAAGGAAAUUGUGAAAAAAUAACUCGUUGGCGGAGUCCAUUUUGUACCUUGGCAAACUGUCGAAUAGCUUGCAGGCAUCGACGAAGGAGACGGCCAGCGAAGGGAGUCGCGGCGCGCACGGACCAGCUAGCUGCCCUGCCGGCGUCCGACGAGCAUGCCGGCGAGGAUCUGGCCGGGGCGGCGAGGCGGCUUCUUGGUCGCGGUCGUGGCUGUCUCGGGAGGGAGCGGGGGUGGGAAGCUAUCGGUUCCCCGGCGGCAAGACGGCGGUGGCGGGCGACGUGGGAGGCGGCGGCGCUGUGGAGCGAAUGUUGCAGCGCCGGCAGCUGGCAGAGUCACCGAAAAAAAUGGGCGGCGUCGUCGGCGACGAAGGAGGCGGGUGAUACGUCUCCAUCGUAUCUAUAAUUUUUUAUUGUUCCAUGCCAAUAUUCUACAACAUUUACAUACUUUUGGCAACAAUUUAUAUGAUUUUCUUCGACUAACAUAUUGAUUCAGUGCCCAGUGCCAGUUUCUGUUUGUUGCAUGUUUUUUGUUUUGCAGAAAAUCCAUAUCAAACAAAGUCCAAACACGAUAAAAACUUACGGAGAUUUUUUGGAAUAUAUGUGAUUUUUGAGAAAAAGAAUCAACACAAGAUGAUGCCCGAGGAGUCCACAAGGCAGGGGGCGCGCCCCAGGGGGUAGGGCGCGCCCUGGGCCCUUGUGGCCACUCCGUAAGGCGGUUGACCCCCUUCUUUCGCCGCAAGAAAGCUAAUAUCCGGAUAAAAAUCGUGUUAAAAUUUCAGCCCAAUCAGAGUUACGGAUCACUGAGAAUUUAAGGAACGGUGAAAGGCCAGAAUCUGGGAGCGCAGAAAAAGAAGGAAACACAGAGAGAGAGAGAGAGAGAGAGAGAGAGAGAGAGAGAUCCAAUCUCGGAUUGGCUCUCGCCCCUCCGCCGCCUAUGGAGGCCAAGGACCAGAGGGGAAACCGUUCUCCCAUCUAGAGGGAAGGUCAAGGAAUAAGGAGGGGGGCUCUCUCCCCCUCUCUCCCAGUGGCACCGGAACGCUGCCGGGGCCAUCAUUGUGACGGCGAUCCACACCAACAACUUCGUUGCCGUCAUCACCAACUCUCUCCCCCUCUAUGCAGUGGUGUAACACCUCUUCUCCCUAUUGUAAUCUCUACUUAAACAUGGUGCUCAACGCUAUAUAUUGUUUCCCAAUGAUGCAUGGCUAUCCUAUGAUGUUUGAGUAGAUCCUUUUUGUCCCAUGGGUUGAUUGAUGGUCGUGAUUGGUUUAAGUUGCAUGUUUUAUUAUUGGUACUCUCCUAUGGUGCUCUCUGUGUCGUGCAAGCAUGAGGGAUCCCCACUGUAGGGUUUGCAAUAUGUUCAUGAUUUGCUUAUGGUGGGUGGCGUGAGUGACAGAAGCACAGACCCGAGUGAGUAGGUUGUUUGCGUAUGGGAAUAAAGAGGACUUGAUACUUUAAUGCUAUGGUUGGGUUUUACCUGAAUGAUCUUUAGUAGUUACAGAUGUUUGCUAGAGUUCCAAUCAUAAGUGCAUAUGAUCCAAGGAGAGAAAGUAUGUUAGCUUAUGCCUCUCCCUCAUAUAAAAUUGCAAUAAUGAUUACCGGUCUAGUUAUCGAUUGCCUAGGGACAAAUUACUUUCUCGUGACAAAAAGCUCUCUACCAAAACUAACUUAGUUGUUUCUUUAUCUAAGCAGCCCCUAGUUUUUAUUCACGUCCUCUUUAUUAUCUUGCAAACCUAGCCUAUCACACCUACAAAGUACGUCUAGUUUCAUACUUAUUCUAGGUAAAGUGAACGUUAAGCGUGCGUAGAGUUGUAUCGGUGGUCGAUAAAACUUGAAGGAAUAUUUGUUCUACCUUUAGCUCCACGUUGGGUUCGACACUCUUACUUAUCGAAAGAGGCUACAACUGAUCCCCUAUACUUGUGGGUUAUCAAGACCUUUUUCUGGCGCCGUUGCCAGGGAGCAAUAGCGUGGGGUGAGUAUUCUCGUGUGUACUUGUUUGCUUUAUCACUAAGUAGGUUUUAUUUGCUGUUCUAAGUUGUUCUCUAUCUUUAGUUAUGGAUAUGGAACACGAAAUGCCAAAAAAAAUUAGGUUUACUUGCUAUUCAUGGAGAUGGGGAACCCCCUAAAACCAUCAAUGCUUAUUAUGUGAAAGAUAUUAUGCACUACUUUAAUAAUCCUGAGGAAACCCCAUCCUAUUAUUUAAUGGGAGAAUGUUGGAUCACUGUGAAUACUUUAGGGAUUAUCGCGUGACUCAAAAAGGGAAACUGUUAUGGGAUCAAAUUCAUAUGUUGCAUUGGUAUGCUCGGAAUUUAUACUUGAGAUAUAAUUAUACUUGUUGCUCUAGGAUGAAGGCUCCACACCUUCCCUUUUCAUGUAAAUUUAAUGAUAAUGAAACCUUGGCUUCUUAUGCUAAUGGUAUUUAUGAUUACUAUGAUGUGGAACGAAUAGAAGAAUUCGUUGCUUUUAAGGAUGCUUAUGAAACUGAAUCUUUAUUUGAAAACUAUGAAGCUUUUGAUGAUCAUGUUUAUAGGCCUGGAAAUUUUGCUAUACUUAAAUAUUGCUAUGAGAAUUAUGAAUAUAAUGCCGAUAUUGAUGCAUUUAUUGAGAAAGUCUCCGCUGUCCAAGAAGAGACUAAUAUUCUGUAGGAAUCUAUGGAAGAAAUUGCUGAAACUACGAGCUCAUUAGAUGAAAAUGAUGACGAGGAGAGCGAAGAACAAAAGGAGGAAGAGCGGAUUGAUCACCCGUGCCCACCUUCUAAUGAGAGUAACUCUUCAACUCAUACAUUUUCUAAUUUCCCUUCGUGCUUACCGAAGGAUGAAUGCUAUGAUCUCUUGGAUUCGUUUGAAAUAUCCCUUUUUGAUGAACUUGAUGCUUGCUAUGCUUGUGGCCAUGAUGCCAAUAUGAAUUAUGCUUAUGGAGAUGAACUUGCUAUAGUUUCCUUAUGUUAAGAAUGAGAUGGUUGCUAUUUCACCCACGCAUGAUAGUCCUAUUAUCUUUUUGAAUUCUCCCAACCACACUAUAUCAGAGAAGUUUGCGCUUAUUAAGGAUUAUAUGGGCUGCGUUUUACUACUACACAUGAUGAUUUUGAUAAAUAUAAUAUGCAUGUGCUUGCUUCUCCUACUUGCAAUUAUUAUGAGAGAGGAACUACAUCUCCGCCUCUCUAUGUUUCCAAUACGAUUAAAUUGCAAGAAGUUGUUUAUGCUAUGUAUCGGCCUUUACUAUGUGUGCAUGAAUUGUUCUUUUAUGACAUGUCGAUGCAUAGGAAGAGAGUUAGACUUCAAUGUUACAUGAUAUAUGUUAUUUUGUGCUCACUACUAAAUUACAAAUCAUUGUUAACUAAAAUUGGCUUUGAUAUACCUUGGGAUCCGGGUGGAUCCAUUACUUGAGCACUAUAUGCCUAGCUUCAUGGCUUUAAAAAAAUCGCUGCCAGGGAGACAACCCGGGAGUUUUAGAGAGUCAUUUAUUUCUAUUGUGUGCUUUUAUAAAGUUUAAAAACAAAAAAAUAAAGUGGGGAACCUAAAACUUUUUCAAAAAGAGAAGUGAAAGUAAGAAAGACGAGCACCGUUGAAGAGGGGGAGCUCCUUGAACUUUGUUCAUGCCCAUGGAAACUUUGUGAAUAUCGAUUGAAACUUUUCAACAGAAAUAAUUAUGCCCUUGUACAAAUCCAUUGUAUUAUAAAAAUAAUGUGCCAAGAUUUGCCUUUAGGAUGAUUAGAUUGCUUGUUUGGUUUGUGCAGUGGAAAAAACGGAAACUUUGGCUGUAGUGCGUGAAUUUACAUUUUUUUAACUGGAAUGUCAAAAGCUUCUGAAACUUUUUGCACAAUACUUCUAUACAAAUUGUUUAUUUUUUCCUAAUUUUGCAGAAUAUUUGGAGUUACAUAAGUAUGAUUGAUGUUCAGAUUACUACAGACUGUCCUGUUUAAGACAGACUCUCUUUUUGAUGCAUUGUUUUGCUCGUUUUGAUGAACUAUCGACUGUAUCGGUGGUAUAAGCCAUGGAAAAGUUAUAUUAUAGUAGCUACAAUGCAAAAAUAAAAUAUGAAUGAGUUUGCAACAAUACUUAAAGUGGUGAUUUGUUUUAUUAUACUAACGGAUCUCACGAGGGUUUUGUUAAGUUUUGUGUGAUUGAAGUUUUCAAGUUUUGGGUGAGAUCACGAUGGAUGAAGGAAUAAGGAGUGGCAAGAGCCUAAGCUUGGGGAUGCUCGAGGCACCCCAAGGUAAUAUUCAAGGACUCCCAAGCAACUAAGCUUGGGGCUGCCCCGGAAGGCAUCCCCUCUUUCUUCUAACGAUCAUCGGUAGUUUUACUUGGAGCUAUAUUUUUAUUCGUCACAUGAUAUGCGUAAAUCUUGGAGCGUCGUGUGCUUUUUAUUUUUCUUUUAAUAAUGCACCAUGCUGGUAUGAGAUAGUCCUUGGUUGAUUUAUAUAAUGCUCUUUGCACUUCACUUAUAUCUUUUGAGUAUGGCUUUAUAGAAGGCUUCAUGUGCUUCACUUAUAUCAUUUGAAGCUUGGAUUGCCUGUUUCUCUACACAUAGAAAACCGCCAUUUGUAGAAUGCUCUUUUGCUUCACUUAUAUUUGUUAGAGCGUGGGCAUAUCUUUUGUAGAAAAAAACUCUCAUGCUUCACUUAUACCUAUUUAGAGAGUUGACAGGAAUUGGUCAUUCACAUGGUUAGUCAUAAAAUCCUACAUAAAACUUGUAGAUCAGUGAAUAUGAUAUGUUUGAUUCCUUGCAAUAGUUUUGCGACAUAAAGAUGGUGAUAUUAGAGUCAUGCUAGUGAGUAAUUGUGGAUUGGUAAGAAUACUUGUGUUAAAGUUUGUCAUUCCCAUAGCAUGCACGUAUGGUGAACCGCUAUUAACGAAGUUGGAUCAUGCGGAAUUUAUUGAUGUCUUCCUUAUGAGUGCUGGUUGGGGACGAGCGAUGGUCUUUUCCUACCAAUCUAUUCCCCUAGGAGCAUGCGUGUAGUACUUUGUUUCGAUAGCUAAUAGAUUUUUGCAAUAAGUAUGUGAGUUCUAUAUGACUAAUGUUGAGUCCAUGGAUUAUACGCACUCUCACCCUUCCACCAUUGCUAGCCUCUUCGGUACCGUGCAUUGCCCUUUCUCACCACGAGAGUCGGUGCAAACUUCGCCGGUGCAUCCAAACCCCGUGAUAUGAUAUGCUCUGUCACACAUAAGCCUCCUUAUAUCUUCCUCAAAACAGCCACCAUACCUACCUAUCAUGGCAUUUCCAUAGCCAUUCCGAGAUAUAUCGCCAUGCAACUUCCAUCAUCAUCAUAUACAUGACUUGAGCAUACAUUGUCAUGUCGCUUUGCAUGAUCGUAAGAUAGCCAGCAUGAUGUUUUCACGGCUUGUCCGUUUUUUGAUGUCAUUGCUACACUAGAUCAUUGCACAUUCUGGUACACUGCUGAUAACCCACAAGUAUAGGGGAUCGUUUGUAACCUUCUUCGAUAAAUAAGAGUGUCGAACCCAAUGAGGAGCUAAAGGCAGAACAAAUAUUCCCUCAAGUUCUAUCGACCACCGAUACAACUCUACGCACACUUGACGUUUGCUUUACCUAGAACAAGUAUGAAACUAUUUUGCAAGGAUAAAACUAUGAGUACUUUGCGAGAAUAAAACUACGAAUAAAUUGCAAGGUAAUAAAAGUGGAUAGCUUUUGUCAACAAGAAAGUCAUUUGUCCCUAGGUAAUCGAUAACAAGUACCGGUAAUCAUUCUUGUAAUUUUAUGAGGGAGAGGCAUGAGCUAACAUAAUUUAUCUACUUGGAUCAUAUGCACUUAUGAUUGGACCCCUAGCAAGCAUCCGCAACUACUAAAGAUCAUUAAGGUCAUGAAACCCAACCAUAGCAUUAAGUAUCAAGUCCUCUUUAUCCCAUACGCCAUAACCCACUUAUCCGCGUUUAGGCUGCUGUCAUCCCCCGCAACACUGACAAUAAGCAAACCAUGAAUGUAUUGCAACACCCUACUGUGGGGCCCCCUCACGUUCGCGCGAGACGGAGGGCACCAUAAUAAAAUAUACAAUCAUACCAACCAGAAUCACGAUUAACCCACAGGACAAAAUGAAUCUACUCAAACAUCAUAGGAUAACCAUAGAUCAUUGGGAAAUAAUAUAUGGAGUUGAGCACCAUUUUUAAGUAGAGAUUACAACGGGGGGAAGAGGUGUUACACCGCUGCAUAGAGAGGGAGAGAGUUGGUGAUGAUGGUAGCAAGAUUGUUGAUGUAGAUCGCCGUCACGAUCCUUACCCCGGCGGCUCUCCGACGCCACUGGGAGAGAGGGGGAGAGAGCCCCCCUCCUUCUUCUUCUUCUUCCUUGGCCUCCCCCCUAGAUGGGAGGAGGAUUCCCCCUCUGGUCCAUGGCCACCAUGGCGGCGGAGGGGUGGGAGCCCCGCCGAGAUUGGAUCUCCCUCUCUGUUCUCUUCUAUUUCGCGUUCCCAGACCUGGCUGAAAACCGUUUCUUAUAUUCCCGAAGAUCCGUAACUCCGAUUGCGCUGAGAUUUUAACAUGAUUUUUUUUCCGGAUAUAAGCUUCCUUGCGCCCGAAGUAGAGCCCCAACCAACGUACAAGGUGAGCACAACCCACCACCACACGGUUGGCAACUGGGGCGCGCCCUGGUGUCUUGUGGGCACUGUGGGCCCCCGUUUGCGUUGAUUCCAAGUCCCAAAAAUCACAUAUAUUCCAAAAUAAUUCUCCUUAAAUUUUUAUCGUGUUUGGACUUUGUUUGAUACGGAUUUUCUGCGAAACAAAAAACAUGCAACAAACAGGAACUGGCACUGGGCACUGGAUCAAUAUGUUAGUCCAAUAAAUCAUAUAAAUUGUUGCCAAAAAUAUGUAAAAGGUGUAUAAUAUUGGCAUGAAACAAUAAAAAAUUAUAAAUACGACCGAGACGUAUCAGCAUCCCCAAGCUUAAUUCCUACUCGUCCUCGAGUAGGUAAAUGAUAAAGAAGAUAUUUUUUGAUGUGGAAUGCUACCUAGCAUAAACUUGAUCAUAUAUCUAAUCAUGGCAUGAAUAUUAAGACAUGAGUGAUUGAAAGCAAUAGUCUAUAGUUUGACAUAAAGACAUCAAUACUAAGGCAUCCCAACAAACGAUCAUGUCUUUCAAAAUAUCAACGCUAAAGAAAGCUAUCCCUACAAAAUUAUUUAGUCUUGUCAUGCUCUCUCUUCUUAACACAGAGUAUUUAUCAUGCACAACCCCGAUGGCAAGCCGAGCAAUUGGUUCAUACUUUUUAACACGCUUCAGCUUUUUCAACCCUCACGCAAUACGUGAGCGCAAGCCAUGGAUAUAGCACUACGGGUGGAAUAGAGUAUGAUGAUAGGGGUAAAUAUAGAGAAGACAAAAAAAUUAAGAAAGUCUCAUAUCGACGCGGCUAACCAACGGGCUAUGGAGAUGCCCAUGAAUCGAUAUCAAUGCGAGGAGUAGGGAUUGCCAUGCAACGAAUGCACUAAGAGCUAUAGGUGUAUGAAAGCUCAAUAUGAAAACUAAGUGGGUGUGCAUCUAAUCCUAUAAUGAAAAAAUCCCACUAGUAUAUGGAAAUGACAACGUAGGAGACUCUCCAUAUGAAAAACAUGGUGCUACUUUGAAGCACAUGUGUGGAACUAGCAUGCCCCUUCUCUCUUUAUUCCUUUUUUCCUUUCUUUUCUUUUUUUCGUUCUUUUUCCUUUUCCUUUUCCUUUUUUUAUAUUUUUCUCUCUCUCAUUGUCCGGAGUCUCAUCCCGACUUGUGGGGGAAUCAUAGUCUCCAUCAUCCUUUCCUCACUGGGGCAAUGCUCUAAAAAUGAAUAAUGAUGAUCAUCACACUUCUAUUCACUUAUAACUCAAAAGAAAUAAAAAUUACAACUCGAUACCUAUAACAAAGUAUGACUCUAUAUGAAUGCCUCUGGUAGUGUACCAGGAUGUGCAAUGAUCUAUCAUAACAACGAUAUCAAAAAACGGACAAGCCAUGGAAAUAUCAUGCUAGCUAUCUUACGAUCAUGCAAAGCAAUAUGACAAUGAAUGCUCAAGUCAUCAAAACGGAAGCGGGGGAAGUUGCAUGGCAAUAUAUCUCGGAAUGGCUAUGGAAAGGCCAUAAUAGGUAGGUACGAUGGCUGUUUUGAGAAAGAUAUAAAAAGGCUUAUGUGUGAUAGAGCGUAUCAUAUCACGAGGUUUGGAUGCACCGGCGAAGUUUGCACCGACUCUCGAGGUGAGAAAGGGCAAUGCACGAUACCGUAGAGGCUAGCAAAUUGCGGAAAGGUAAGAGUGCGUAUAAUCCAUGGACUCACAUUAGUCAUAAAGAACUCAUACACUUAUUGCAAAAGUUUCUUAGCCCUCGAAGCAAAGUACUACUACGCAUGCCCCUAGGGGGAUAGAUUGGUAGGAAAAGACCAUCGCUCGUACCCGACCGCCACUCAUAAGGAAGACAAUUAAUAAUAAAUCAUGCUCCAACAUCAUAGCAUAACGAGAGGCUAUACGUGCAUGCUUCGGGAAUCACAAACCUUAACACCAAUAUUCUUACUAACCACAACCGUUUACUAGUACCUCCCACAUAUUCGAUCUCUAUAUCGCAAAACUAUUGCAAGGAAUCAAACAUAUCAUAUUCAGUGAUCCAUAAGUUUUGUGUAGGAUUUUAUGACUAACCAUGCAAUUAACCAAUUCCUGUUGACUCUCGAAAUAGGUAUAAGUGAAGCAUGCGAGUUUAAUUCUUUCGACAAAAGACCAUGCUCUAAUAAAUAUAAGUGAAGCAAAAGAGCAUUCUACAAACAACAGUUUUCUAUGCGAAGAGAAACAGGCAAUCCAAACUUCAAAUGAUAUAAGUGAAGCAUGUGAAGCAUUCUAUAAAACCACACUCAAAAGAUAUAAGUGAAGUGCAAAGAGCAUUCUAUAAAUCGACCAUCGACUAUCUCAUACCAGCAUGGUGCAUAAAAGAAAAAGUAAAAACUAAGCGCAAAAUACGCUCCAAGAUUUACGCAUAUCACGUGAACAAAACAAAGACGAAAACAUACCGAUACUUGUUGAAGAAAGAUGGGAUGCCUUUCGGGGCAUCCCCAAGCUUAGACGCUUGAGUCUCCUUGAAUAUUUACUUGGGGUGCCUUGGGCAUCCCCAAGCUUGAUCUCUUGCCUCUCCUCCUUCUCCUCAUAUCGAGACCUCCUCGAUCUUUGAUCACUUCAUCCCCACAAAACUCAACAGAAAGCUCAGUAAGAUCCGUUAGUAUAAUAAAGCAAAUCACUACUGUUGCAAACCAAUUCAUAUUUUGUUUUUGCAUUGUAGCUACUGUAAUAUAACUUUUUCAUGGCUUAUUCCACUGAUAGAAUUGAUAGUUUCAUCAAAACAAGCAAAACAAUGCAUCAAAAACAGAAUAUGUCUUAAACAUGAGAGUUUGUAGUAAUCUGAACAUUCACCGUACUUCUGGUACUCCAAAAAUUCUUAAAAAUUAGGACAAAGUAAAAAAAUUGUAUAGCAAGACUGUGCAAAAAGUUUCAGAAACUUUCAAUGUUCCAGUAAAAAAUGUAAAAUCGCGCACUACAACCAUAGUUUCUGUUUUUGCACCGCACAUACUAACAAGCAAUCUACUCAUCCUAAAGGCAAAUCUUGGCACAUUAUUUUUAUAAUACAAUGGAAUUGUACAAGGGAUAAUUAUUUUUGUGAGAAUCUUCAUGAAAAAUUCUACAUUGUUUCCAUGAGCAUGAACACAAGUGUUCAAGGUCGACCUGAUACGUCUCCAACAUAUCUAUAAUUUUUGAUUGUUCCAUGCUAUAUUAUAUUCUGUUUUGGAUGUUUAACGAGCUUUAUUAUACACUUUUAUAUUAUUUUUGGGACUAACGUAUUAACCGGAGGCCCAGCCCAAAUUGCUGUUUUUUGCCUAUUUCAGUGUUUCGAAGGAAAAGAAUAUCGAACGGAGUCCAAACGGAAUGAAACCUUCGGGAACGUGAUUUUUGGAACAAACAUGAUCCAGAGGACUUGGAGUCUAUGUAAAGCAAUCAACGAGGAGGGCACGAGGCAGGGGGGUGCGCCCACCUCCCCCAGGCGCGCCCUCCACCCUUGUGGGGCCCUCGUUGCUGCACCGACGUACUUCCUCCUCCUAUAUAUACCCAUAUACCCUGGAAACAUCAGAGACGGAGCCAAAACCCUAUUUCCACCACCGCAACCUUCUGUACCCGUGAGAUCCCAUCUUGGGGCCUUUCCCGGCGCUCCGCCAGAGGGGGCAUUGAUCAUGGAGGGCUUCUACAUCAACACCAUAGCCUCUCCGAUGAUGUGUGAGUAGUUUACCUCAGACCUUCGGGUCCAUAGUUAUUAUCUAGAUGGCUUCUUCUCUCUCUUUGGAUCUCAAUACAAAGUUCUCCUCGAUCUCUUGGAGAUCUAUUCUAUGUAAUCUUCUUUUGCGGUGUGUUUGUCGAGAUCCGAUGAAUUGUGGGUUUAUGGUCAAGUUUAUCUAUGAACAAUAUUUGAAUCUCCUCUGAAUUAUUUUAUGUAUGAUUGGUUAUCUUUGCAAGUCUCUUCAAAUUAUCAGUUUGGUUUGGCCUACUAGAUUGAUCUUUCUUGCAAUGGGAGCAGUGCUUAGCUUUGGGUUCAAUCUUGCGGUGUCCUUUCCCAGUGAUAGCAGGGGCAGCAAGGCACGUAUUGUAUUGUUGCCAUCGAGGAUAAAAAGAUGGGGUUUAUAUCAUAUUGCAUGAGUUUAUCCCUCUACAUCAUGUCAUCUUGCUUAAAGCAUUACUCUGUUCUUAUGAACUUAAUACUCUAGAUGCAUGCUGGAUAGCAGUCGAUCUGUGGAGUAAUAGUAGUAGAUGCAGAAUCGUUUCAGUCUACUUGUCAUGGAUGUGAUGCCUAUAUACAUGAUCAUACCUAGAUAUUCUCAUAACUAUGCUCAAUUCUAUCAAUUGCUCGACAGUAAUUCGUUUACCCACCGUAAUACUUAUGCUCUUGAGAGAAGCCACUAGUGAAACCUAUGGCCCCCAGGUCUAUUUUCCAUCAUAUUAAUCUUCCAACACUUAGCUAUUUGUAUUCCCGUUUAUUUUACUUUGCAUCUUUAUUUACUCUUUAUCAUAAAAAUACCAAAAAUAUCAUCAUAUCAUAUCUAUCAGAUCUCACUCUCGUAAGUGACAGUGAAGGGAUUGACAACCCCUUUAUCGCGCUGGUUGCGAGGUUCUUAUUUGUUUGUGUAGGUGUGUGGUACUCGCGCGUGGUCUCCUACUGGAUUGAUACAUUGGUUCUAAAAAACAGAGGGAAAUACUUACGCUACUUUACUACAUCACCCUUUCCUCUUCAAGGGAAAACCAACGCAGUGCACAAGAGGUAGCAAGAAGGAUUUCUGGCGCCAUUGCCGGGGAGUCUACGCACAAGUCAAGACAUACCAAGUACCCAUCACAAACUCUUAUCCCUCGCAUUACAUUAUUUUCCAUUUGCCUCUCCUUUUCCUCUCCCCCACUUCACCAUUGCCGUUUUAUUCGCCCUUCCUCCAUUGAAUCUUGUGUUACCAUGUGCCUUCUGUUUGCUUGCAUCUUCGCUUGCUAAGAGUUUAUGGAUCCUCAUCCACUUGACAAUCUCUUUAAGAGAUCCAAUUAUGAUGAACCUAUUGCUAGUGAGUUGAGUGCACUAGAUUAUCUUUAUGAGGUUUUGCUUCAAAUUCGUGAAUCUGAAAAUUGUGAUGAAGUACUUUAUGAAGCGAUUCACGAUAGAUCUUUGAAUAAAAAGCAUGAUUGCAAUGAUUUUAUUAUAAAUUCUAUUGAUGUAAAUUAUGCUAAUAAUAUGCAAAACCCUAAGCUUGGGGAUGCUAGUUUUGCUAUGUCUUCUACUUGUUGCAAUGAUCAUGAUUGGGGUGAUUCUUCUUACGAUCUUGAAAAUUUACUUACUCCCCAUGAUGAAUAUGAGGUUGAUAAUAAUGUUUGCAAUAAUAUUGAAAGUGGGUUUGGAAGAGUGUCAACUUUAGAUCCCACAUAUUUGGAAAAUGUUCAAUCUUAUGAAAUUUUUGAUAAAAGUGGGUUUGGAGAGGUCAUGACUUUAGUUAAUGUUAAUCCCACUAUUUUGGAACAGUGUCAACUUUGCAUACAUGUGGAUCGUGUUAAGAAUAUGUUUUGUGAUAGCUAUAUUGUUGAAUUUGCUUAUGAUCCUACAUGUAAUUAUUAUGAGAGAGGAAAAUAUGGUUGUAGGAAUUUUCAUGUCACUAAAUUUCCUCUCGUUAUGUUGAGAUUGCUAUUGUUUCUUUCUUCUUCCUUGCAUAUGCUAGAUCUUGCUUGUCUUGCUAAUUUGUUUUCCUAUAAAAUACCUAUGCAUAGGAAGUAUGUUAGACUUAAGUGUGUUUAUCACGUGUUCUAUGAUGCUCUCUUUGUGCUUUAAUUCUUGUCUUUCAUGUGAGCAUCAUUAAAAUUAUCAAUGCCUAGCUAAAAGGCUUUAAAGAAAAGCGCUUGUUGGGAGACAACCCAAUAUUUUUACUUGCUGUUAUUCAAUAAAUCUUUGAUCUAGCCUCUGGUUAGAUUUGUUUUUAUGUUUUAAUUAGUGUUUGUGCCAAGUUAAACCUAUAGGAUCUUCUUGGAUGGUAGUUAUUUGAUCUUGCUGAAAAUUCCAGAAACUUUCUGUUCACGAAAACAAUUGUUUAAAAUCACCAGAACGUGAUAAAAUAUUGAUUCCAAUUGAAGUAUAUCAAUAAACAAAUUUUCUAGGUCUUCCUAUUUUGGUAGAUUUUUCUGAGUUCCAGAAGUUGCGUUAGUUACCGAUUACUACAGACUGUUCUGUUUUUGACAGAUUCUGUUUUUCGCAUGUUGUUUGCUUAUUUUGAUGAAUCUGUGGCUAGUAAAAGAGUUUACAAACCAUAGAGAAGUUGGAAUACAGUAGGUUUAACACCAAUAUAAAUAAAGAAUGAGUUCAAUACAGUACCUUGAAGUGGUGUUUUGUUUUCUUUCGCUAACGGAGCUCACGAGAUUUUCUGUUGAGUUUUGUGUUGUGAAGUUCUCAAGUUUUGGGUAAAGAUUUGAUGGAUUACGGAACAAGGAGUGGCAAGAGCAUAAGCUUGGGUAUGCCCAUGGCACCCCAAGAUAAUUUAAGGACACCAAAAAGCCAAAUCUUGGGGAUGCCCCGGAAGGCAUCCCCUCUUUCGUCUUCGUCCAUCGGUAACUUUACUUGGAGCUAUAUUUUUAUUCACCACAUGAUAUGUGUUUUGGUUGGAGCGUCUUGUAUGAUUUGAGUCUUUGCUUUUUAGUUUACCACAAUCAUCCUUUCUGUACACACCUUUUGAGAGUGACACACAUGAUUCGGAAUUUAUUAGAAUACUCUAUGUGCUUCACUUAUAUUUUUUGAGCUAUAUAGUUUUUGCUCUAGUGCUUCACUUAUAUAUUUUAGAGCACGGUGGUGGAUUUGUUUUAUAGAAAAUAUUGUUCUCUCAUGCUUCGUUUAUAUUAUUUUGAGAGUCCUACAAAACAGCAUGGUAAUUUGCUUCAAUCAUAAAAAUUAGUCCUAAUAUAAUGGGCAUCCAAGAUUAGUAAAAAAAAUUUCUUACGAGUGUGUUGAAUACUAUGAGAAGUUUGAUGCUUGAUAAUUGUUUUGAGAUAAUGAAGAUGGUGAUUAGAGUCAUGCUAGUUGAGUGGUUAUGAAUUUAAGAAAUACUUGUGUUAAAGUUUGUGAUUCCCGUAGCAUGCACGUAUGGUGAACCGUUAUGUGAUGAAGUCGGAGCAUGAUUUAUUUAUUGAUUGUCUUCCUUAUGAGUGGCGGUCGGGGACGAGCGAUGGUCUUUUCCUACCAAUCUAUCCCCCUAGGAGCAUGCGCGUAAUACUUUGCUUUGAUAACUUGUAGAUUUUUGCAACAAGUAUAUGAGUUCUUUAUGACUAAUGUUGAGUCCAUGGAUUAUACGCACUCUCAUCCUUCCACCAUUGCUAGCCUCUUUAAUACCGCACACUUUUCACCGGUAUCAUACACCCACUAUAUACCUUCUUCAAAACAGCCACCAUACCUACCUAUCAUGGCAUUUCCAUAGCCAUUCCGAGAUAUAUUGCCAUGCAACUUACCACCGUUUCGUUUACUAUGACACGCUUCAUCAUUGUCAUAAUUGCUUUGCGUGAUCAUGUAGUUGACAUCGUAUUUGUAGCAAAGCCACCGUUCAUGAUUCUUUCAUACAUGUCACUCUUGAUUCAUUGCAUAUCCCGGUACACCGCCGGAGGCAUUCACAUAGAGUCAUAAUUUGUUCUAAGUAUUGAGUUGUAAUUCUUGAGUUGUAAGUAAUAAAAGUGUGAUGAUCAUCAUUAUUAGAGCAUUGUCCCAAGCGAGGAAAGGAUGAUGGACACUAUGAUCCCCCACAAGUCGGGAUGAGACUCCGGACGAAAAAAAGAGAGAAAGGCCAUAAAAAAGAGAAGGCCCAAAAAAUGAGAGAAAAAGAGAGAAGGGACAAUGCUACUAUCCUUUUCCCACACUUGUGCUUCAAAGUAGCACCAUGAUCUUCAUGAUAGAGAGUCUCCUAUGAUAUCACUUUCAAAUACUAGUGGGAAUUUUUCAUUAUAGAACUUGGCUUGUAUAUUCCAAUGAUGGGCUUCCUCAAAAUGCCCUAGGACUUCAUGAGCAAGCGAGUUGGAUGCACACCCACUUAGUUUCUUUUGUUGAGCUUUCAUAUACUUAUAGCUCUAGUGCAUCCGUUGCAUGGUAAUCCCUACUCACUCGCAUUGAUAUCUAUUGAUGGGCAUCUCCAUAGCCCGUUGAUACGCCUAGUUGAUGUGAGAAUAUCUUCUCCUUUUUUGUCUUCUCCACAACCACCAUUCUAUUCCACAUAUAGUGCUAUGUCCAUGGCUCACGCUCAUGUAUUGCGUGAAGAUUGAAAAAGUUUGAGAACACCAAAAGUAUGAAACAAUUGCUUGGCUUGUCAUCGGGGUUGUGCAUGAUUUAAAUAUUUUGUGUGGUGAAGAUAAAGCAUAGCCAGACUAUAUGAUUUUGUAGGGAUAACUUUCUUUGGCCAUGUUAUUUUGAGAAGACAUGAUUGCUUAGUUAGUAUGCUUGAAGUAUUAUUAUUUUUAUGUCAAUAUUAAACUUUUGUCUUGAAUCUUUCGGAUCUGAAUAUUCAUACCACAAAUAAGAGAAUUACAUUAAGGAAUUUGCUAGGUAGCAUUCCACAUCAAAAAUUCUGUUUUUAUCAUUUACCUACUCGAGGACGAGCAGGAAUUAAGCUUGGGGAUGCUUGAUACGUCUCCAACGUGUCUAUAAUUUUUGAUUGUUCCAUGCUAUAUUAUAUUCUGUUUGGAUGUUUAAUGGGCUUUAUUAUACACUUUUAUAUUAUUUUUGGGACUAACCUAUUAACCGGAGGCCCAGCCCAAAUUGUUGUUUUUUUGCCUAUUUCAGUGUUUCACCGGGGGGUGCAUUGAUCAUGGAGGGCUUCUACAUCAACACCAUAGCCUCUCCGAUGAUGUGUGAGUAGUUUACCUCAGACCUUUGGGUCCAUAGUUAUUAGCUGGAUGGCUUCUUCUCUCUCUUUGGAUCUCAAUACAAAGUUCUCCUCGAUCUUCUUGGAGAUCUAUUCUAUGUAAUCUUCUUUUGCGGUGUGUUUGUCGAGAUCCGAUGAAUUGUGGGUUUAUGAUCAAGUUUAUCUAUGAACAAUAUUUGAAUCUCCUCUGAAUUCUUUUAUGUAUGAUUGGUUAUCUUUGCAAGUCUCUUUGAAUUAUCAGUUUGGUUUGGCCUACUAGAUUGAUCUUUCUUGCAAUGGGAGAAGUGCUUAGCUUUGGGUUCAAUCUUGCGGUGUCCUUUCCCAGUGACAGCAGGGGCAGCAAGGCACAUAUUGUAUUGUUGCCAUCGAGGAUAAAAAGAUGGGGUUUAUAUCAUAUUGCAUGAGUUUAUCCCUCUACAUCAUGUCAUCUUGCUUAAAGCAUUACUCUGUUCUUAUGAACUUAAUACUCUAGAUGCAUGCUGGAUAGCGGUCGAUGUGUGGAGUAAUAGUAGUAGAUGCAGAAUCGUUUUGGUCUACUUGUCACGGACGUGAUGCCUAUAUACAUGAUCAUACCUAGAUAUUCUCAUAAAUAUGCUCAAUUCUAUCAAUUGCUCGACAGUAAUUCGUUUACCCACCAUAAUACUUAUGCUCUUGAGAGAAGCCACUAGUGAAACCUAUGGCCCCCGGGUCUAUUUUCCAUCAUAUCAAUCUUCCAACACUUAGCUAUUUCUAUUGCCAUUUAUUUUACUUUGCAUCUUUAUUUACUCUUUAUCAUAAAAAUACCAAAAAUAUUAUCAUAUCAUAUCGUGUUGGUUGACCAUGAAGGGAUUGACAACCCCUUUAUCGUGUUGGUUGCGAGGUUCUUAUUUGUUUAUGUAGGUACGUGGGACUCGUGCGUGGUCUCCUACUGGAUUGAUAUCUUGGUUCUCAAAAACUGAGGGAAAUACUUACGCUACUUUACUGCAUCACCCUUUCCUCUUCAAGGGAAAACCGACGCAGUGCUCAAGAGGUAGCACGACCCUCACUUCUCCAAUGCAUAACUUUGAUACGUCUCCAAUGUAUCUAUAAUUUUUGAUUGUUCCAUGCUAUUAUAUUAUCUGUUUUGGAUGUUUAAUGGGCUUUAUUAUGCAAUUUUAUAUUAUUUUUGGGACUAACCUACUAACCGGAGGCCCAAUGCAAAUUGCUGUUUUUUUGCCUAUUUCACUAUUUCGCAGAAAAGGAAUAUCAAACGCAAUCCAAACGGAAUGAAACCUUCGCGAGGAUCAUUUUUGGAACAAACGCAAUCCAGGAGACUUGGAGUGGACAUCAAGGAAGCAACGAGGCGGCCACGAGGUAGGAGGGCGCGUCCAGGGGGGUAGGCGCGCCCCCACCCUCGUGGCUCCACCGACCUACUUCCUGCACCUAUAUAUACUCAUAUACCCUGAAAACAUCCAGGAGCACCACGAAACCCUAUUUCCACCGCCGCAACCUUAUGUACCCGUGAGAUCCCAUCUUGGGGCCUUUUCCGGCGCUCCGCCGGAGGGGGAAUCGAUCACGGAGGGCUUCUACAUCAACACCAUGGCCUCUCUGAUGAUGUGUGAGUAGUUUACCACAGACUUUUGGGUCCAUAGUUAUUAGCUAUAUGGCUUCUUCUCUCUCUUUGAAUCUUAAUACAAAGUUCUCCUCGAUUCUCUUGGAGAUCUAUUUGAUGUAAUACUUUUUGCGGUGUGUUUGUCGAGAUCUGAUGAAUUGUGGGUUUAUGAUCAAGACUAUCUAUGAACAAUAUUUGAUUCUUCUCUGAAUUCUUAUAUGCAUGAUUUAAUACCUUUGCAAGUCUCUUCGAAUUAUCAGUUUGGUUUGGCCUACUAGAUUGAUCUUUCUUGCAAUGGGAGAAGUGCUUAGCUUUGGGUUCAAUCUUGCGGUGUCCUUUCCCAGUGACAGCAGGGGCAGCAAGGCACGUAUUGUAUUGUUGCCAUCGAGGAUAAAAAGAUGGGGUUUAUAUCAUAUUGCAUGAGUUUAUCCCUCUACAUCAUGUCAUCUUGCUUAAAGCAUUACUCUGUUCUUAUGAACUUAAUACUCUAGAUGCAUGCUGGAUAGCAGUCGAUGUGUGGAGUAAUAGUAGUAGAUGCAGAAUCAUUUCGGUCUACUUGUCACGGACGUGAUGCCUAUAUACAUGAUCAUGCCUAGAUAUUCUCAUAACUAUGCGCUUUUCUAUCAAUUGCUCGACAGUAAUUCGUUCACCCACCAUAGAAUUUGCUAUCUUGAGAGAAGCCACUAGUGAAACCUAUGGCCCCCGGGUCUAUUUUCCAUCAUAUUAAUCUCCCGUCAACUAGCUAAUUCUGUAGCCGUUUAUUUUUGCAAUCUUUACUUUUCAAUCUAUACAACAAAAAUAACAAAAAUAUUUAUCUAUUUAUCUCUAUCAGAUCUCAGUUUUGCAAGUGGCUGUUAAGGGAUUGACAACCCCUUUAUCGCGUUGGUUGCAAGGUUCUUGAUUGUUUGUGCAGGUACGAGGGACUUGCGUGUUAUCUCCUACUGGAUUGAUACCUUGGUUCUCAAAAACUAAGGGAAAUACUUACGCUACUUUGCUACAUCACCCUUUCCUCUUCAAGGGAAAACCAACGCAUGCUCAAGAGGUAGCAAGAAGGAUUUCUGGCGCCGUUGCCGGGGAGACUUGCAUCGAGUCAAGUCAAGAUUUGAUCUCCCGUCAAGGAGCCAUUUCUGGCGCCAUUGCCGGGGAGAUCUACUCACAAGUCAAGACAUACCAAGUACCCAUCACAAACUCUUAUCCCUCGCAUUACAUUAUUUGCCAUUUUCCUCUCGUUUCCUCUCCCCCACUUCACCCUUGCCGUUUUAUUCGCCCUUUUUUCCGUUCGCUUCUUUCUGCUUAUCGUUUGUGUGCUUGCUCUUUGUGUGAUUUGCUGCCGUCAUGUCUGAAACUGGGGUGGUUAUCAUUGAUAAGGAUAGUGGUAAUAACAUGGAAAACUUUGAUGCUUUUGAUGAUCCUCAUGAAGAACCUACUAUUUUACAUACUAAAAAGUUUUGGAUCGGUAGUGGUAAUAUUAUUGGGAAAGGAGUUAUUCAAGAUUUCUUUCCUUGUGCCGGUGCCUUGCCCACUAUGGGUCGGUCUAUUCUUCAUAGAACUAGUAGUCUUGCGGAUGCAAUAUCUUUGCUCAUAGUUGAACUUGAAAGGCAGUUUAUUCAUAUGCAUCCUUGCAUACAAAGGAUUUUUCUAGAAUUUUCCAAUAUUGAGCAUUCUUCUGUUAAGCGAGCCGCUACUAUCUUUUUGGCACAUAAGUUCAGAUUUAUAAUGAAAGAGGCCAAAGAAUUUUUUGCGCAUUAUAGGGUGGACGCUGGUCGUCUCCCAUAGAAGCUAUCCUUUUUAAUCAAGAAGACAUAAUGCAUUUACAAUCUUUAGAUCAUGUUGCUUAUAAUGAAAACCUUAGAAAGAAGGUUCCUACCGAUGUUCUAGUUGAUAGAAUCUCUGAACUUAGUGAUGAUUUUUCUAUUCAAAACAAUGGGUUAGGUUUUUCUCUUGAACAAAGGCUCAUGACCUUUUGCCAAAAGAAUGUUUAUAAUGAUGAAUUGGUUGUGCAAUAUAAGCGGCCAAAGGAGGACCCCAUACCUCCCGAGCUUGAUUUUGGGGACUUUUGUCCCAUUAAAUUUAGCCUUUUUGAUUAUUUUUGUUUGCUAGAAAGAAAACUUGCUGCUGAACGUAGGGAAUAUGAGAUGAGUUUUCGUGAUUUGCCUUAUCAUUACGAUAAUACCUAGAUCUAUUCUUGUUUUUAUGCCUAGCUAGGGGCGUUAAACGAUAGCGCUUGUUGGGAGGCAACUGUCGGUUCUAUAUCCGGCGUAUCUCGUAGUAGGGGUCCUAAGCUAGGCGUCUUGGAGCAAUGGUAACAUGGACACGGGAUUUUACCUAGGUUCGGGCCCUCUUGAUGGAGGUUAAACCCUACGUCAUGCUUUUGAUUGUAUUCAUAUGGGGUGUAGUACAGAGUACAUGUAUCUACCACGAGAUUGAUCUAAUGAAUAUAAGAUGUUUUAUUGACUAGCCUGGCCUCGGUUUAUAUAACACACCGGAGGCCUAGGGUUUAGAGGAGUCCUUGUCUUGGGUGCCAAGUCUUGUGGAAUCCUCCUUGUACACGGCAUGGGCUGUCCGAAGUGGCCCAUGAGUAAACCGCCAUGGGGGUCCUCGACUCGAUCCACCUAGUCGGGAGACGAUGUGGUGAGUACCCCCUAAUCCAGGACACCGUCAGUAGCCUCCUGAACCGGUCUUCAAGUUGGGGACGCUCCUCGAUCCUUCCGAACUGUUCUUCAUCUUCGGUCGUUGGUCUUGAAAACUGGUUCAACAAAUCUUCUCAUCUUCGAUCUUGAGGAUCGCCAAAGUAAAUCCGAAGAGUUUACAAGUCGGGUAUCCAAGGAGCCCCUUUAAGUUCUCGGCCUUUAUCAAUGCCUUAUUAUUUUUUAUGCCACACCUCGGGUUUGAAGUGGUUCCCGUGCGGCGGUGUCCUCUUGCAUCCGAGCUCCAACCUCGGACUAUAUCCGAGCUCCAACGCCGGACUAUACCCGAGCUCCAACACCAGACUAUAUCUGAGGUGUCAUAGAUCACCUUGGCUUGAAAAUUUUUGAAGGAGGUUAUCCGAGUUUAACGCUGAAAAGUUCUCUAUGGAACGAGCCAUUCAAAUCCAGGCUUUAUGCUGGACCACUUCCGAGCUCCAACGAUGGUCAGCGUCUGAGGUGUUGUAAACUACCUCGGUCUUUUGAAAGAUUGAACGAAUUCAGCCGAGCUUAAUGCGGGAAAUGCCCUCUAUGGAGCCAGCCACUGGCGCCCGAGCUUUAUGCCGGACUGCUUCCGAGGUGGUGCACCACCCCGACCGCGGGCUGGUUUUUGUGAAUAUUUUUGAUUGGUGCAAUUUACUCUCUGCCGAGAUAUAUAGCCAGUAUAUGUAUAUCCAGUAGCCCUCAAGGUGUGUGUCGGUCUAAACCCGAGAUGCACCUGAAGGAAAACAUAAAACUACUGAUCCUGGUAGCCCAUGAGACUCAAGUCGAUUUGCAAAAUCGGCCUAAGGAUCAACUCCUGGCUCGGCAGCAUACGUAGGAAUAGAAAUGCAGUUUAAUAUAUUAGAAAUAAUGAUCGACGGACAGGUCCCUGAGAGAGGGUUGUGAGAAGUCGCCGUGAUAUAUUAGCUUGAUGCCGGAUAAGUCCCAGAUGGUACUUACUGUUGUCCGAAGACGUGUUUGCCCAUAGUUCGGUCAAGCUGAACACUGAGCACUUUGAAUUUUCUGCAUUGAAUAGGUGAUGCAGUAGCCCCCGAGACACUGGUCGGGUGGCAACACCAGAUCAGGGGAUCGAUGUGCCCCUUUAAUAUUAGUAAAUGAUAAGCCCGAAGCCCAAUAGCCCCCGAGCCUUAAUGCGGGCACGGGUGGCUGAAUUAAGGAUCGAUGUCCAGAGUAAAAUCACAAAUUAUGUGUAAUGAUUCUAUGUAUCCAAGUACUUUACAUCAUUAAUGCUCGGAUCCGCAUUGUACAAAACUUUGUUGACCGACCAUCUGCUUCCACCACCUCGGCCAGUAGCCGAGGAGUGUUUGUCCUACUUUAUAAAGCCUUUAUGAGGGCGAAGAUUUACGACAAACAAGGCAAUCUGGCCAUACGGUUUUAUAAACAAAGGUACGCAGAGAGAUAUGUUAUAUUACUGUUUAACAUAAGAAAUGUCUUCCAAAGAAAAUAGUCCCGCUAUCGGUUCCUUUCUUUCGGUUGUCAUGCUAAGCAUGAUCAUGAAACCUCAGCUCCGAUCAAUGUGGGAGCAAAAUAUUGAGGUUUUAGUUUGUGGAAAAUUCCCGAACUAUGUGGUCUUAAGCGAACCCAAAUUUUCACUUCCGUCGUUGCCGACAAAUUAUAUCCUUUAAGAUGGCUAGCUUUCGGCUUCACCCAGUCUGAGGUACUAACCCAGAUGACCCCAUAGUAACAAUCACAGAGGUGCUCCCUUUACCGCCUACCCGAUCAAUCGGGAACGUAGGGGUAAGCACAGGAGCCAGGCAACCUAGCUUGGCCAAAAUCUUAAGUCAAAUUGAUGCAUAUGUAUGGCUUUAUAACGAUGAUUAUGAAGGCGGCCCUUGUAUAUUAAAUACAAAUGCCGAUGAUAUGUUUAUUUUGACUCUGUUGCGACCGUUUAUCAGUUGAAAGUGGCCCAUCGUCGGCUUCCACCCCGUUGUAGAUGCCACGCAGGGUGUUUCCGCAAUAACAAACAACCCUUAGCCGACGUCUCGGUGCCCGAAGGCGGUUGUGUUAGCGGAAACGAGGCAAUCAGAUAUGCAGGCUUUACAACUUUCACUUAGUCAUAGGAGCUUAAAGUUAGGAGGCCAGCUACUAGCCCCUGGUUAGUGUUCGGCGACAGCCGAGGUCAAGCCGUAAACACUUCAGCCAAUGUUAUGAACAGCCUAUCAUUUAACAUGGUCAUCGGAUCGCUGACCAGUUUAUGCUUAUUGUGACAGUCAGUUUUUGGCUUUCUCCACUGAGGUGCUUAACCAUGCGAGCUGGAAGCACAAUCGCAGUGGUUCUCCCUUUGCACACCUAGCCGAACAAAGCGAAACGUAGGAGGCAAGCACAGGAGCCGGGCAACCCAACCAUUGACCGAAGACACAAUUCGAAACCGAUGCGUAUAUAGCAAUAUCCGAGAAUGUUUUUGCCGAAUCUCUAAAGGUGUCCAGCGUUGCACUGCGAGACUUAUGCUGGAAACGCACAAAUAGUUUAAAAGUGCCAUAGGCUUGGAAAACCAAAAAACUUCAGUAAAAGCUUGACGUCCGAACUAGAUCAAGUGUUCGGUGCCAAUCCGAAAAUUGGUCUUAGAAAAAAAAAGUGCUUCUGUCAUGCUUUAACAUGACACAUCCUGUCUCAAGACUUAAACAGGGUCCGCCCACGGUUUCAACCUCCUAUCCCGAAGGCGGAGUACUUCUCGUUAGGCCAGUUUAGCAAACUAAACUCUAGCGGCUUCGAGAGAGAAAUUAGGCUCCCCGGCUAUUGACCACACACUCGCGUCGAAAAAAGGAGUGAUAGAAAAAUACUUUGCAAUGACUAAGAAGAAGAACACUUAUUAUAAAAUAGCUCACAUAAAUUUAAGAGCCCCCAAGUGACUUGGGUAAAAGAAUUUUAUGAUUGUAUGUACCGAAGUACUUAUAUCAUAUCUGUGUUCACCCGAACUUUAAACGCGUCUUAACCGACCGUCGGCUUCUCCCUCUUCGGUUAAGGGCCGAAAAGUGUAAUGUACUCCACCUAUCGAGAAUAUCGACGGUGUUUCCGAUAACCAGGCAAUCAGGCCAUAAGGCUGUAACAGACAAAGCGCGCUCAGGGAACUUAUGCUAUAUUACUGACAAAGUGUAAGAAGCAUCUUCGAAGGAAAUAGUACCCCCACCGAUACCUUUCUUCGGUUGCUCAUUGUUACUAUGAGACUUGUGCUAUAGAUUUUGUGUACUCAUGAGUUCCAUUGUGUGCCGACCAUGAUUGAAAACAAUAAAAGCGCUAGCUUUCGGCUUCACCCAGUCUGAGGUCCGAGCUCGGAUGACCCAAUCGUGACAAUCGCAGAGGUGCCCCCUUUACUCCCUAGCCGAACAAUCGGGAACUUAGGGGUAAACACAGGAGCAAGGCAACCCAGCUUGCGGAACACUUAAGUCAACAUGGUGCAUAUUGUGGCGUAAUACACGAACAAGGAACGAAGCCAUACAAGUAUAAUCAUAUGCAAAAGGAAAAGCUUCAUAAAGGAAGCCCCCAAGUAGACGGGGUAUUUGAAUUUGUGUGUCACAAACAAAGUUUUGACAAGGAAGUUUUUCAUAAACAACUUUUUGCCAAAAAAUGUAUAAUGCUUGGUCGAGCCGAACAAAAUUUAAAACUGAAAGUUUUUGAGCAUGAAAGCGACUUAGCUGGUUAAUGUGUUCGGCAUUGAUGACGCGGUCCGAGCUUGAUGUGGGACAAGGUUCCAUUCCCCAAGCCGGUCCCGAGGUGGCGGAGCGAAGAGCUCGGCACUCCGAAGUGGUGACAUAGCACGGCCAAUGCAGGCCGGCAGAGUGACGCCAAAGUCCCCGGCGUGGGUUAAUGAAGUGUUGACGAAGCCCCCCCNNNNNNNNNNNNNNNNNNNNNNNNNNNNNNNNNNNNNNNNNNNNNNNNNNNNNNNNNNNNNNNNNNNNNNNNNNNNNNNNNNNNNNNNNNNNNNNNNNNNNNNNNNNNNNNNNNNNNNNNNNNNNNNNNNNNNNNNNNNNNNNNNNNNNNNNNNNNNNNNNNNNNNNNNNNNNNNNNNNNNNNNNNNNNNNNNNNNNNNNNNNNNNNNNNNNNNNNNNNNNNNNNNNNNNNNNNNNNNNNNNNNNNNNNNNNNNNNNNNNNNNNNNNNNNNNNNNNNNNNNNNNNNNNNNNNNNNNNNNNNNNNNNNNNNNNNNNNNNNNNNNNNNNNNNNNNNNNNNNNNNNNNNNNNNNNNNNNNNNCGGAUCAUUUACCUAUGCACAAAAAAUAGUGCAAACCAGAGAUAAUAGUAAUAAUGAUAAAUUAAAAAAAUUUGUUGCAUAAUAAAUAAUUUAUGCAAGUGAGUAAUAAAGGAAAUAUGGCCUAUGCGCUGAACACUCGAUGAGGUAGAGCUCUCUCGGCGAUGCCGAAGUCCCCAAGGCAACCGAACACGUCGGUAUGGCAACACGACCAACAAGGUGAUCACGCGAGCCGAUUUACGCCAAUUGGGACGACGGCGUUGGCUUGCCGAAGAGACCACGUGACGCAGUCGAAGUCCAUUACCUGCACAUGUAAAAUAGUGCAGGCCAACAAUAAUAAUAUAAAUAUAUAAAAAUCCUCGCGUAAUUAGUUUACGCAAAAUAAUCUAUUUAAAGAUAUGUGGCCUGGCGCUGAAGUCAAUGUCCAUGCAGGGCGUUGGCGUGAUGCGUUAAAGGCGUGGCAAAGCCUGAAUUCACAGGUCGGUCCGAGUUCCGGAUGCGGCGUUCGCUGAACUAUGUACGGAAACUGACCAAAUCACCACGCGAUCAUCAUUAAUGCGGCCACCAUUUGAUAGACCUGUGUACAGAUGAUGGACCAAACCAGAGUAAUAAUUCCUUGGGAAAAAUAAACCCAAACAAGCAAAAAUUGCUAGGAUUAACAACACCUGGUUUAUUUAUUGUAGCAGUCCGAAGAAAAGUGACUCCCAAAAUUGGGACUCAAUCCGCAUACCCAUUGCCUGAUGGGGGGUGAAGCGACGGCAUGGCGAUGCUGGUAAAGGUUGGCUCGCCGAGGCAAAGCCCCCGGCCCAGCUAACAUGACGAAGCUGGUCGGUUGACGUCGCCGAAGUCUCCGGAGUAGGUUGAUGGCGAAGUCCCCCGGUCCAGACGAGGAGACGAAGCAGGUCGGUAAGGAGAUGUUGCACCUGCCAUGUCAGCCGAGGUGUUGAAGUAAUUCGGCGUGAUGGACAUCGGCUCGAUGAAGCAACGGUGCGGCCAUGCCGAUGCAGGUCGUAACUCGCGACGUGGUCAAUGCUGGCUUGAUGAAGUGACCGUGCGGCGAUGCCGGUGUGCCCGCUCCGUGUAAUCCGUGGGGCGGCGAUGGUGGUGAUGAUUUAUCCUUCGCGAUGCCGAACUCUUGUUCGGCUUGUCGAGAUGAUGAUCCGAAGAAGUUGAGCUCGGCUCAACAAAGCGACGACGUGUCUAGCGCAGGUCGGCAGCCGUAGAGCAACGUUGUCGGGCUGGUUUGACACCGGCGCGAUGGUGAAGAUCAUAUUGGAAAAGACUUUAAAAUUAGUGGGAUGUGUUUGGGAACAAAACACAAUACCCCAUACAAAACUUCCUUAAAAAAGGAUGUCCGAAAUCCUGUUCAUAAAAAAGAUGAAUUUGGGUCAGAUUCGUUCUCGCGCAGAAAACAGAUCUGAAAAGUGAUACACUAAUCAGAAGGUUCCCGGAGUUUGGACGGUCGGAUCGAGCUGAAAUUUUGAGGGGUGGUGGAUAUAGGAAUUCCGCAGCCGAUCAACGGUUGGAUCUUCCAAAGGAUGUCCGAGCUAGAUGCUGGACACCAAGCUCCAAACUCGUCCAUAUUCCCGUCCAGAUUUGACGGGGCUCCGGUACAUCGAAGACCGGCGGAGAUUGCUCCAUCAGAACGCGAUGAAAUUUCAUAGUGUUGUUGUACACUCAAUUCCGCACAAUUCCACCGAAGGAAUCGUCAAAGCGAUGCUCGAGAAGGUGGUGGUAGCGGAUACAAGUUCGUUAUUCGGAAAAACAGCACGGUCGCCUGAGGGCUAUGUUGACGUCGAGCCCCCGAGCUCCAUGGAUGAUUCCUCCAUGAUCUUGAUAGAGAUCGGAGUUGAUGUUAAUGAAGGCCCUCGUCCGAACAUGAUGAUUGGAGGUAGCGCACAGUCCUCGGUUAAGCCAAGGUGACCAGUCGAGCUGGCGACAAAAGAUGCCGACAUCGACCGUAAAGCUCGGCUCCGAUGCGUAGAUCGCGCCGGAGACGAUCCGAAUUCCCAUCGCCCCAUGGCGACUGCCAGCAGGCUCUCAAUGAAAGCACCAAUGUCGGUUCUAUAUCCGGCGUAUCUCGUAGUAGGGGUCCUAAGCUAGGCAUCUUGGAGCAAUGGUAACAUGGACACGGGAUUUUACCCAAGUUCGGGCCCUCUUGAUGGAGGUUAAACCCUACGUCCUGCUUUUGUUUGUAUUCAUAUGGGGUGUAGUAUAGAGUACAUGUAUCUACCACGAGAUUGAUCUAAUGAAUAUAAGAUGUUUUAUUGACUAGCCUGGCCUCGGUUUAUAUAAUGCACCGGAGGCCUAGGGUUUAGAGGAGUCCUUGUCUUGGGUGCCAAGUCUUGUGGAAUCCUCCUUGUACGCGGCAUGGGCUGUCCGAAGUGACCCAUGAGUAAACCGCCAUGGGGUCCUUGACCCGAUCCACCUAGUCGGGAGACGAUGUGGUGAGUACCCCCUAGUCCAGGACACCGUCAGCAACCCAAUUUUAUUUUUUUCCUUGCUUUUUGUUCCUGUUUAGUAAUAAAUAAUUCAUCUAGCCACUGGUUAGAUGUGUUUUAUGUUUUAAUUAGUGUUUGUGCCAAGUAAAGCCUAUAGGAUCUUCUUGGGUGAUAAUUAUUUGAUCUUGCUGAAAAAGACAGAAACUUUCUUCUCACGAAAACAAUUGUUAAAAAUCACCAGAAAGGGAUAAAAUAUUGAUUCCAAUUGCAGUAGAUCAAUAAUCAAAUUAUCUAGGUCGUCCUAUUUUGGUAGAAGUUUUGGAGUUCUAGAAGUUUGUGUUUGACACAGAUUACUACAGACUGUUCUGUUUUAGACAGAUUCUUUUUUUCGUGUGUUGUUUGCUUAUUUUGAUGAAUCUAUGGCUAGUAUCGGGGGGUAUGAACCAUAGAGAAGUUGAAAUAUAGUAGGUUUAACACCAAUAUAAAUAAAGAAUGAGUUCAUUACAGUACCUUAAAGUGGUGGUUUGUUUUAUUUCGCUAACGGAGCUCAUGAGAUUUUCUGUUGAGUUUUGUGUUGUGAAGUUUUCAAGUUUUUGGGAAAAGAUUUGAUGGAUUUUGGAACAAGGAGUGGAAAGAGCCUAAGCUUGGGGAUGCCCAAGGCACCCCAAGGUAAAAUUCAAGGACAACCAAAAGCCUAAGCUUGGGGAUGCCCCGGAAGGCAUCCCCUCCUUCGUCUUCGUCUAUCGGUAACUUUACUUGAGGCUAUAUUUAUAUUCACCACAUGAUAUGUGUUUUGCUUGGAGCGUCUUGUAUGAUUUGAGUCUUUGAUUUUUAGUUUACCAUAAUCAUUCUUGCUGUACACACCUUUUGGAGAGACACACAUGAAUCCGAAUUUAUUAGAAUAUUCUAUGAGCUUCACUUAUAUCUUUUGAGGCAGAUAAUUUUGCUCUAGUGCUUCUCUUAUAUAUUUUUAGAGCACAAUGGUGGUUUUACUUUAUAGAAAUUAUUGAUCUCUCAUGCUUCACUUAUAUUAUUUUGAGAGUCUUUUAGAACAGCAUGGUAAUUUUCUUUGGUUAAAAAAAUUAGUCCUAAUGUGAUGAGCAUCCAAGAUAGGUAUAAUAAAAACUAUCAUAUAAAGUGCAUUUAAUACUAUGAGAAGUUUGAUUCUUUAUGAUUGUUUUGAGAUAUGAAGAUGGUGAUAUUAGAGUCAUGCUAGUUGAGUAGUUGUGAAUUUGAGAAAUACUUGUGCUAAAGUUCGUGAUUCCUGUAGCAUGCACGUAUGGUGAACCGUUAUGUGAUGAAGUCGGAGCAUGAUUUAUUUAUUGAUUGUCUUCCUUAUGAGUGGUGGUCGGGGACGAGCGAUGGUCUUUUCCUACCAAUAUAUCCCCCUAGGAGCAUGCGCGUAGUACUUUGUUUUGAUAACUAAUAGAUUUUUGCAAUAAGUAUGUGAGUUCUUUAUGACUAAUGUUGAGUCCAUGGAUUAUACGCACUCUCAUCCUUCCACCAUUGCUAGCCUCUCUAAUACCGCGCACCUUUCGCCGGUAUCAUACACCCACCAUAUAACUUCCUCAAAACAGCCACCAUGCCUACCUAUUAUGGCAUUUCCAUAGCCAUUCCGAGAUAUAUUGCCAUGCAACUUACCACCGUUCCAUUUAUUAUGACACGCUCCAUCAUUGUCAUAUUGCUUUGCAUGAUCAUGCAGUUGACAUCAUAUGUGUGGCAAAGCCACCUUUAUAACUCUUUCAUACAUGUCACUCUUGAUUCAUUGCAUAUCCCGGUGCACCGCCGGAGGCAUUCACAUAGAGUCAUAUUUUGUUCUAAGUAUUGAGUUGUAAGUAAAUAAAAGUGUGAUGAUCAUCAUUAUUAGAGCAUUGUCCCAAGUGAGUAAAGGAUGAUGGAGACUAUGAUUCCCCCACAAGUCGGGAUGAGACUCCGGACUAAAAAAAAAGAAAAAAA